UUUUUUUUUUGAAGUUGCAACGCUGACGGUUGAAUUACAUCUUUUACAAAGGCCAAUGCACAUUUCAUAUAGGCUGUGUCCCUUUGCCUUCCUCCCACCUUUUUAUUAAUGCGGUCCGGGCUAGACGCAUGAAACCAUAAUUUUUUUUUGAAGUUGCAACGCCGACGGUUGAAUUACAUCUUUUACAAAGGCCAAUGCACAUUUCAUAUUUAUUUUCCAAAAAUAUCACAUAAAGUCAGUCUUAAUGCACAAUUUAAUUGGACAGUUACCGAGACUGAGAACUUAAUAGCUGUGCUUGAUGAGUGUCAUGGAGAUGAAACUCCUCUCCCAUAUGAUGAAAUUCUUUAUUCUCUCCCCUCGUAAUGGUCUUGUCAAGUCAGCAAAAUUGAUAAUACGGUAUACAAUUUAAUGCUCAUGAAAAAACCUUCCAUUGAAACUGGCCUAAGUAAGAUAGCAUUUAUUUCGAUGUUGAAAUAGCUCCAUAGAAUGCAUAAUUCUAUUGUUUAUUAUUUCCAAGACUACAUACAAGAAAUGAAUUUUGAAAAACAAUGUACAUAGGUUUCAAUUAGAUGAAAUCCAUCAUCUCUCUCUUCGUUGAUUCUUUGCCACGUAUACGUCAUAAAAGACACUAACAUGACGCUUCAUAUAAUGAGAAUGAAAAUCCCAUCAAGAUUGAUCCAAUACUAUCUCAAACUAUGACAUGCUAGACCAAGAUUCAAAUAUUUUAAUUUUAACUGAUUUACAUAGUAUACUGAAAUUUGAUAUCAUUAGAUUUGUAUUGAAAAAACCAAUUCCAUACGAUUUCAAAGUAUUUUGUGGUUAUAUACAUUAUAAUAUAUAAGAUAUUAACGGUCAAAAUAUGACAUUGAAGACUGUAAUUAGUCAAACCACAUCUUAGGCUAAUCCAGUUGAGAGUUUAACGGUGUUUAACGGUCAAAAUAUGACAUUGAGAGUUUAGGACAAGGAAAUGGUGUUUAACGAGUCACACACUAAUUAAUGAUUAAUGAGAAUGAUGAGACGUACUAGGAAAAAAAUAAAUCCUAGAAAUUGUAAAAAAAUUAGAAACAUUUGGCCAUCCAUCCGGUAGUUCAAAUUAUCGUAGCCAUUAAAUUUUAUUUAACAUUUUUCCACAACGGUGGAAGGUUUCAAUAGAACUUGAUCGUCUAUGCAUGGUAGCUAUGCUAUAUAACGGCUUUCAUGAACAUGCCAUGCCAUGGCACCUCAGUUAGCCCCGGCAGUAGCUGCUGCCGUCCACACUUGAGAAAUUAGUUCAGCCGGCGUUUCUUGUGCUUGAGCUGCCUGAGCCUGACAACCUCACUGACAGCGCUCCUGCUCACCGUCGCCUUCCGUCCUUCACCAAAGUUCCAGAGCUCGCGCGCCAGGUAACCUCCGCUGGUGUUGUGCUCGUUCAUCUCGAUCACCGCGCGGUCUUCACCGCCAUCGCCGUACUCGUCCCGCGGGCGCCUCUCUCAGCUCCGCGUCGUCGUCGUCGUCGUCGUCGUCCACGACUUUCUGCAACACCCCGAUGAUGACUCGUUAUAUUGCUGCUUGACAAAUUGUGAAAUUAAGACCUUGCAAGUUGGAUAUAAGUAUAUGCCUUGGUUUUGCCAUUGGCGUCGUCAAAAAUCCUGAAAGGCACUUCCUCCUGCCAAUCAGAGAUCAGCGUUGCCGCUCUGACCUGCUUGAAACAAAAUAGCUAAUGCAUACUGAUGGAUGGUUAGUAGCUAAGAGUACCUUUGACUUUUCAACAUCCAUAAUGACACCACUUUUCUUAGCCAAUGAUCCAUCGAUCAACUUGGAGCUUGAGCUUAGUAGAGCCAUUUGUGUCAUUCUUUGUGCUCUUCUCAAACCAGUGCAUGUCCAAGUUCCAUUGUGUCUCGUAACCUCUCCAGUUGAUGCAAGUGCGUCUUUUUAACGUCAAUCUGGGUUUCCAAUAUAUCCACCACUACUGGAAAACGGAAUUUCCCUGUGUGUAUUCAAUUUUCCUGUGGGUUUUUUGAGCACACACAGGGAAAUCAAUUUCCCUGUCGGUGUGCAAACACCACACAGGGAAAUAACCAAACCCACAGGGAAAUUCGCUUUUCCUUGUCGGUAUUAAAAAACACACAGGGAAAUGGUUAAACCCACAGGGAAAAUACUCAUUUCCUUGUGCGUUAGGUAAAACACACAGAGGAAAUCGCAAAAACACACAGGAAAAUACUCAUCAGGUAACCUGUAGUAAAUAGUUAACCAGAGCCUUAUACUACGUAGUAGUAAACUUUAACUGCCACUAAAUUUUGUUUGAACUUGAUUUCACAAUUAUUUCUCCUUCACGUUGAUGCUUUCAUAAAUUGACAUUAGAGUUUUUGAAUCAUAAAAUUUUGACGUUGUAACGGGCCUUUUCAGCAUAUUUGUGUGUGGGCGCUUGAUAAUGUUGGAUUUGUGUGCAGCAUGCUCCAUUUGUCCGGUCCGGUUAGUCUCAGGUACAUGGUGAAAAUAUAUCUUUGUGAGUACUAGAGAUAUGAAAUGGGUAAAAAUUAAAAGAUCCGCGGAAUUUAUUACCAUUCCCCUCAACAGGUCCACCAACGCGGCAUGCUCAUGUUGUCGUGCGCAGCCGCUUUGUCGCCAAUGCCGACCGGGUUGCCAGAGGAGGAAGAGGGCAUUGUAAAGGCCUUUUCUUCUGUCGAUUUCGAUUGCUGAGAUACGCACGGGAACGGUGAUAUAUAGUGACUAUAGCUAUUUCUUAUCUGAUCUGUUUGUGGGCUGUGGCUUCCUGUUGGAAACAAGAAUGUUUCCACCCUUCGCAUUCCUCCCACCUUAACUAAUGUGAUCUUGGCUGGAAGAUGGGAAUCAUAAACUUUUAAAGUUCUAACGGCACCUUUUAGGGAUAUUUGUGUGUUGGACACUCGAUAAUAUUGGAUUUGUGUGCAACACACUCCAUUUGUCCACUCAGUCUCGGCACACGGUGAAAUUAAGUCUUUGUCCAGAACACCAGGGGCGGAUCCGGGACUUCAGGGAGGGGGCUCAUCCUCCUCUUCUAACUCCCUCCUCUCUUUCUCUUCUUCCUCCUCCUCCUAUUCACCCAUGGAUGAAAUUUUUAAGGGGUCUUUAGGGGCUUCAUGGGAUGCAUGGAGAUAGGAGAGCUCCAGCAGUCCAGACCCCAUAGUGGAUCCACUCCCGCACAACACACUAUAGUCACUCCCCUUCCACUUUCUCCCCCGUUCACAAGCUCCAUCACGUCUCCCUCUCACCUCCUGCCCCCACGAGCGCCUCCAGCCUAUCUCGAGUGCAGCUCCAAUGCCUUGGUGUGCCAGCGUCCAUGGUACGCCGGCUAGCUAGCUUCUGCUUAUUUGCAGCGCCUUGUGUGCUGCACCUGCACAUGAAGCCGAUAUAGCUGCAAGUGCUGCACACUUCUACCCAGCUGCAACUGCUGGGCUUGAUGUUGGCUGGCUGCAUCUGCUAUAUAUAGGUGCUGCUAGCUAGCUGCUGCCGCGGCAGCCCUAGCGGACGCUGCAACUAGCACUACUGAAUCCUUGUGUGCAACAACUCUAAGCCUCAGCUAGCAAGUCACACGAGCCUGAGCAAACGUGCGCGUGAGAGAGCCGAUUGAGCGUCACGGGACAUAGGUUCGCUUGGGUGGCCACACGGCACAAAUCUAAGUUAUGUGACCGUGUCAGCUAAUUAAUACAAACUUUUUGCUUGUUGUUCUCGCACGUGUUCAUAUAUACGCAGGGCUACAUCUGCCUCGUGAGCGGCCUCAAGUUCAACGAAGCGCUCGAUUACUGCUUCUCCAGGGGGAUGGAACAUGCCUACCCUUUGCCUUCAUCCCACCUUAACUAAUGUGGUCUGGGAGCCUAGGAUGGGAACAAUUUUUUUGAAGUUAUAAUAACGAUGGUCAAAUUUUGUGCGUGAGACACUUAAACAUUGGAUUUAUGCACAACACAUUUCACUCUUCCAUCCUUGUGUGCAACAACUCUAAGCCUCACCUAGCAAGUCACACGAGCUUGAGUAAACGCACGUGUGAGAGAGCAGAGUGAGUAUCACGGAGAUAUAGAUUCACUAGCCACAUGGCACAAAUCUAGGCCAGGUCCUCACACUGUUGGAUGAUUGACCUUUUGUACCAGUUGGGAAACCCCAUUUAGUGCCGGGUGCCCGACCGGUACCGGGCAGCUCAAUCGGCACUAAACUUAGUACCGGUUGGUUUUACAAACCGGUACUAAAAUUUUAUUCAUUUACUUGUUUUCCUUUUGUUUUAAUUUGCAUUCGUAUCCGUUUGCAUAUACUAAUAAUAUUACGUUAAUAUAUCAAACCAUUCAAAUUCAAGCCUCACAAGUUCGUACAUCAAUACUUAAGGUCUUAAAGACAAUAAGUUCAAAUCCAUAUGAAAAGGGUAUGAGUACAUCCAUGUACGCUACAUAUUUUAUACUUCACUUCGCUUCCUUAGAUAUGCGGCAUAGUUUAAGUCUCCAAUCUUAAAGAACUUCAUCAAUAUAAACUAGAGCAUGAAUUAGUGCACUCUCUAUCGCUUCACAUGGAUGGUCACAUCCACUACCAUAAAUCUCAAACAAUGGAGAGGUAAACUCAUAUGGCCUAUAGAAAGUGAGAUGAGCCUAGAGCUUGAAAUUUCUGAUGCGUACCGGGUUUCCAUCAGUGUAACUAUAAUUCAACACAUCCAAGACUUGAGCCAGAAUAGCAUGAAAGCUCAUUGCUGCAAUGGUUUGACCAAAGAGAUCCUAAAAGAUGAGAAUAGCAUGAUGAAAGUUAAAAGAUGUAACAUAACUAAAGAUAAAAAGAAUGAUUAGACAUGUUCCAUACCAUGUCAUGUUGAUUUAGUUGACAAAGCCUCUCAGUAGUCAUAAUCACGUUGCUUUCUCCCUCCUUGAACGCCUUUAUUCAAAAAUAUGAGAAGUCUGGCACAUAGUACCCAUUAUCCUUAAGCUGUUGUAGGCAGGCGUGGACUUUUCAAAAGUCUACCUAAUUGGUGCUUCCUUACUCCAUCAGCAAUUCAUAACAUUGAGAUGGCCUGUCCUGGUCGUAUCGAGUUGGCCUGUCCUCCUCGAAUCAGGUAGUUCAAAAGAGAUCUUAACUCAUAGCAAAUUACUUGUACCAAUACCUCGGAUUGCACUAAAGGAGUAGUACCGCCUAGAGCUUUGACAACAUCUUUGAGCCAUCUAAUAGGGUUGAUAAGCUACAUUGUAUGAGAGUAAAUUUAUGAAUUAUUCAUGUGCAGUACAGAAAACUAAUUACAAGAAGGAAAAAUAUUACUAUGUUGGGUUUUGCUCCUUGGCUUUGAUUGCCGGUAGGCAAGUCAAUGACGCCAUUAGGGAAUAUUUUUUAAGUUAUAAUAACGAUGGUCAAAUUUUGUGCGUGAGAUACUUUAAUGUUGGAUUUAUGCAUAGCACACUUCACUCAUCCAUCCUUGUGUGCAACAACUCUAAGACUCAACUAGCAAGUCACACGAGCCUAAGCGUGAGAGAGCUGAGUGAAUGUCGCGGGGACAUAGAUUCGCGUGGGUGGCCAUAUGGCACAUAUAUAAGCCGGGUUGUCAUGUCAUGGUGAGCUCUUUGUAGACCAUCCCCACCUAAUUUUCUUCCUUAAUUUGAAUUGGUCUUGGUGCUACUAGGAAAGCGCAUAAACCCGCCAUUGGAAAGGCUAUGUGAUCGUGUCAGCUAAUUAAUAGAAACUUUUGCUUGUUGUGUUCGCACGAGUUCAUAUAUACGCAAGGCUACAUCUGCCUCAUGAGUGGCCUCAAGUUCAACCUAAGAAGUGAAGUGCUCGAUUACUGCUUCUCCAGCGGGAUGGAACAUGCCUACCCUUUGCCUGAGGUCUUGGAGCCUGGGACGGGGAACAAUUUUUUUGAAGUUAUAAUAACAAUGGUCAAAUUUUGUGCGCGAGACACUCUAACAUUGGAUUUAUGCACAACACACUUCACUUGUCCAUCCUUGCAUGCAACAACUCUAAGCCAAAGCUAGCAAGUCACACGAGCUUGAGUGAACACGCGCGUGAGAGAGCCGAGUGAGCGUCACUGGGACGUAGAUUCGCUUGGGUGGCCACACAGUACAAAUCUAAGCUGGUCCUCGUUGUGAGCUCUUUGUGGACCGCCCCCAUCUAAUUUUCUUCCUUAAUUUGCAUUGGUCUUGGUCUGCUAGGAAAGUGCAUAAAACUGUCAUUAAAUAGGGCUAUCUUACCAUGUUAGCUAAUCAAUACAAACUUUUUAUUGUUGUGUUCGCACAUGUUCAUAUAUAUGCAGGGCUAUAUCUGCCUCAUAAGCGGCCUCAAGUUCAACCUAAGAAGCGAAGUGCUCGAUUACUGCUUCUGCAACAGGAUGGAACAUGCCUACCUUUUGCCUUUAUCCCACCUUAACUGAUGUGGUUUGGGAGCUUGGGAAGGGAACAAUUUUUUUUAAGUUUAAUAACGAUGGUUACAUUUUGUGCGUGAGACACUUUAACGUUGGAUUUAUGCAUAGCACACUUCAAUCGUCCAUCCUUGUGUGCAACAACUCUAAGCCUCGGAUAGCAAGUUACUUGAGCCUGAGUAAACGUGCAUGUGAGAGAGCCGAGGGAGCGUCACGGGGACGUAGAUUCGCUUGGGUGGCCACACGGCACAAAUCUAGGCUGGGUCCUCAUGGUGAUCUCUUUGUGGACCGACCCAAUCUAAUUUACUUCCUUAAUUUGCAUUGGUCUUGGUUCUGGUAGGAAAGUGCAUAAAGCCGCCAUUGGAGAGGCAGCUAAUUAAUACAAACUUUUCAUUGUUGUGUUCACACAUGUUCAUACAUACGCUGGGCUACACCUGCCUCAUGAGCGGCUUCAAGUUCAACCUAAGAAGCUAAGUGCUCGAUUGCUGCUUCUCCAACAGGAUGGAACGUGCCUACCCCUUGACUCAAUCCCACCUUAACUAAUGUGGUCUGGGAGCCUGGGACGGGGAACAAUGAUUUUAAAGUUAUAAUAAUGAUGGUUAAAUUUUGUGCGUGAGACACUUUAAUAUUGGAUUUAUGCACAGCACACUUCACUCGUUCAUCCUUGCGUGCAACAACUCUAAGCCUCAGCUAGCAAGUCACACGAGCCUAAGUAAAUGUGCGCGUGAAAGAGCUGAGCGAGUGUCGCGAGGACGUAGAUUCGCUUGGGUGGCCACACAGCACAAAUCUAGGCUAGAACCUCAUGGUGAGCUCUUUGUAGACCGUCCCUACCUAAUUUUCUUCAUUAAUUUGCAUUGGCCUUGGUUCUGCUAGGAAAGCACAUAAAACCGCCAUUGAACAGGGCUAUCUGACCGUGUUAGCUAAUUAAUACAAACUUUUGCUUGUUGUGUUCGCACAUGUUCAUGUAUACGCAAGGCUGCAUCUGCCUCGUGAGCGGCCUCAAGUUAAACCUAAUGAGCGAAGUGCUCGAUUACUACUUCUCCGGCGGGAUGGAACAUGCCUACCCUUUGCCUUCAUCCCACCUUAACUAAUGUGGUCUAGAAGCUUGGGAUGUGGAACAAAAUUUUUACAAUUACGAUAGUCAAAUUUUGUGCGUGGGACACUUGAUAAUGUUAGGUUUAUGUACAUGACGCUUCACUUAUCCAUUGACACACACCAUGAAAAUAUCUCUCUGUCCCCUCGACUUCCACUCUCUCCCCGUCCACAAGCUCCACUCCCUCUCUCGCCUCCUACCCCACAAGCACCUCCAGCCUAUGUCGUGUGCAGCUCCCCUAGUUGCCUUGGUGCGCCGGCGUACAUGGCAUCCUGGCUACGCCGAUGAUAGCGACUCUUAGCUAUUAUUUCUGCCUAGUGAUGGGCCUGCACCUACUUUGUUCCUCCAACUCAUCGUUGCCUCCCAUGCCACGGCACGAUGAUCAUUGCAGUGGCGCUCGCCACUUGUGCCAAGCCACCGAGGUGUGCAGUGCAGGCGCCAUGGCUAUAUGUCACAUAUGAGACAUAUAGCAAUCUAUCACAUACCAGCGGGACCCACCCGUUAUUGACAGGUUCCUCCUGCUUCCUCUUCCUCUGUCCCGAGCCCAUCCACUCUCCCCUUCCCCGCUGCUUCCUCCUCUCCCUUCGGUCACCUCCAGCGCUGCUAGGGUUAGGGGCUUCGAGCUUCGGGGUUGCCGGGGGAGGUCUAAUGGCCGCUGGUACUAGAAAAAUGGGUGGGGAUGGGAGGGGAGACCUGCGGUGGAGGUGGGUUGUGGGGCGGUGUGGCGCGGCGGCGGGGACGCCACCGGUCGGGUCCAACGGCUUGAUUGCCGGUGGGCCAAGGAUGGGCCGGGGCGAGGGUUAUGAUGGUGGAGGUGAGCUCCUAGUGGAGCCAGGUUAGGGUGGCGGAGGGUGGUGGCGGGAGCCGUCGGAGCCGGAGGAGGAAGGUGGCACGGGGGUGACGAGCUAGGUUAGGACGACGGAGGGUGUUGGCGGCGGAUGCGGCUGCGGGAGCCGCUGGAGCUGGAGGAGGAAGGUGGCGCAGGAGUGAUGCUAGUGGGCCGUCACUGAAGGCAACAACGGCAGAUUUGUUGCCUUCAGUGAAAUAUAGAACCACCCCGCGCAGGCUCGCGAACGUCAGGGCCGGGGCGGCACCCAAGGGUGGUGGAGUUGCUGUUGCUGCAGUACAUGGUGAUGGGCGCCUCAACGUGUUGGGUAGCUGGAGUUCUACGACCAGGCGCCAGUGAACAGCUUUCCCCUUUUUGUUUACGUCGUCAAGAAACCAAUUUACUUCCUUAAUUUGUAUAUUGUUCUAGUUCUUCUAGAAACCUGUCUAAAAUCACGAUUGAAUAUGGCUAUCUGACCGUGUCAACUGAUUAAUACAAACUUUUACAUGUUGUGUCCGCGUGUGUUCAUAUAUACGCAGGGCUAUAUCUGCCCCGUGAGCGACCUCAAGUUCAACCUGACGAGCGAAGUGCUCGAUUACUGCUUCUCCGGUGCUGCCUUCCUCAUUCCUUAAUUAACGUGGUCUGGGCUGGAAGCCUCGGACUGGGAACAAAAAAAAAAGUUGAAGUUAUAACGGCGGCGGUCAAAUUUUGUGUGUGGAGCACUUGAUAUGCUGGGUUUAUGCGCAACACGCUCCACUGGGUAGUCUCAGACAUACCGUGAAAAUAUCUCUAUGUCCACGACACAUUAUAGUCACUCGAAAGACCAUAUUAUCUUUCUGUCUCCACGACGGGGCUCCGCCUCCUCACACGGCUCCAAGGCGCCAACCUCUGCUCCGACGGUCCGGCCCUACACGUCGCUACUCCGUCACAGAUGGCCAAGCUCCGGCACUCGUUUCCUCCUCUCCUGCGCUACCACGGCACGAUGAUCGCUGGAGUGGCGCUCGCCACUUGCGCCAAGCCGCCACCGAGGUGCACAGCGCAGGCUCGCAACGUCAGGGCAGGGCCGCCCGGCCGGGACGGCACCCAAGGGCAUCGUGUUGCAGCUGCCGCAGUACAUCAUGUACACGGUGAUGGCUGCCUCAUCAAGCCUUCAACAUGUUGGCCUUGGGUAGCUGGAGUUCUACGCCCAGGCGCCUUGGAUGACGGGUGGACACAAGGGACAAAGAAAGAGAGAGGGAGGGCAUACAAAUCAUUUUAUUAGCUGAAGUGUCCUGGAGACAAAAAUCAUGUACUCGCGGUGUGUGCAUGAGGCUAACUCGACGAAUGGAAAUACUUAGUCUAGGAAUUUAUACAGUACAGUAAAAAAAAGUUACCCACAACUGCUACUGAAAAUGUGCUCCUACACCAGUAGGACUGGACUGGGCAGCUCGCAUAAGCAGUAGUACUUGCGGACAUACAUCGAACAAAGACAAGAAACGAUUUAAAAUCAGUACUUUAUUUAACAUUUUCACAACGGGAGGAAUUGAAGGUUUCACUGGACUUGAUGCUCUAUUGGUAGGCUAUAGAGCUUCCAUUCACCAGCCAUGGCACCUCAGUUAGCCCGGCCGACCGCCGUCCCCCUUGCGCAGCUGCUGCAAUCCACGUCCUAUUUCCGCGUCCAACUUUGCUACUUCCUUCUCCAGUUCCUGUUCAAAAAAAAUUGUAAUUAAACAACUAAGCUACUAGGUCUCGAAAGAAAAUUAGCAAUGCAUAAGAAACACACUGACACUGAGUCACUGAUGACAGUUCGCUAAGAGUACCUUUGAUUUAUCAACUUUCAUAAGGACACCACUUUUCUCGGCCAAUGAUCCAUCUAUUAACUUGGAGCCUGAGCUUAGUAGAACCAUUUGUGUCAUUCUUGUGCUCUUCUCAAGCAGUGCAUGUCCAAGUUUCAUUGUGUCUUGUGACCUCUCCAGUUGAUGCAAGUGCGCUUUCUUAACGUCAAUCUGGGUUUCCAAUAUAUCCACAACCUUCAUGGACACAGGGAAAAUAAGAUGCAUCACUAAAUUUUAUCUGAACUUGAUUUCACAGUUAUUCCUUGAUGAUGAUGCUUUCAUCAAUCGACAUUAGAGUUUAGAACUCCACCGUCUCAGUUUCAAUAGAAAUCCACUGAAAUACGAGUACGUCAUUUUCCUGAGGAGCUAAACCAAUAUAUGAUGCAUUAUUUACACACUAGAAAGGAGAGUUAACAGAUUUCUAACAAAGUUCCGAUCACAAUUCGCAAGCUUACAUCCUUUUGGGAACCUUCCAUGUCAGUUAUGAGCUUCUCGUUCAACUUCGUCGGAAAGUCCAUUUCUUGAGGCAUCUUGGGAUCUUAAUCUGCACGCAGAAAGAAAAAAAAAAGAGUCGCAAGCCGUUAAGUGUUCAGAAUAGUGGUUCUCCUCCUGGGCAACUCAGCAUCUUUUGCACGCAGAAAACAAAAAUCCAAAGCCAUUAAACUACAGUAUGUCAGAGAGGAUUAAUUUAAAAAACAUGCAAAUAAAUCAGAGUACGAGUUCAGAGUAGUUCUUUGUGGAUUUAUCAUGAUUGCAAGGUACAAAUGAAGAUCAUAUAUCGGAGCAUUAGAUUACUGACACAGAACACCAGAUUGAGCAGAUAGUAGGCUACUCCUGCAGACCGAGAGUGACUGGUACAAAUUAAACUAGCAAGGUGAUGAAACCUCGAUCUCUUACCACCACCGCCACCACCGGCACCAGGUUGGUUGACGCUACCGCGCACGCUCUGGUCACCGAGCACACCGACCUCGCCGUCGCCGUCUCCGCCGGCAAGGCCCGCCGCUGCAGCGGAGGAGGAAGAGGCCAUCAGGAGAUGGUGCUUGGUAAGGUGCGGUGGAAUGGGAGCAGUGGUGCUGGCUUUAUAGGCCACUUCGUCUCUGUCCUCUGUUCUCUGGCCUCCCAACCCUCCAGCUUCCGCAUUUCUUUAUCGGUUAAUGCGGUUCAGUUUUUCUCUGGCAGCCAGAAACCUUGGAAACUGUCCGUGUUUGCCAUUUUCUUUUUGAGAUCACAAUCGAUUAGCAAAGAAGUCCGGAAGUCUAACGCUAACGCCGAUGCAUGCUUGCGAGCUGUCGAGUUCUCUGUACUAAACUUUAAGCACUCUGCAGAAGCCAGAUAGUUCAGUCAAAUGCUACAUUCUAUCUAAGGCUUAAUGGCAACUUUUUUGUAACUUCUUUUUUAAUUCAGGAAUAUGCUCGACAAUCUGUCCAUGUAGGCUAUCAUUAUCAAACACCUACACGAAUAGGAUUGUAGCGUUCACUCAUCCUACUUCCAUUCAUCCAGCAUGUACGAUGUGCACCUACACGAAAGCAACCAAACACACCCUUCGUUCAUCUUCAGAGCCAGAAGAGUAUAGGUAGCGGUCUUCCGGGGUCAGUCAACCAAAUGCUAGGCGUCAGGAUAGCCUUACCAGAGUUUACUCCUGCAAAAACAAUCACGUCAACAAAUUCACGUGCUACCUCCACCACCAUACGAACAAAGCAAGCGCUAUCUUAAUGAUGUGAUAUGAGAUUCGAACAGCAACAGUCAAAAAGUCUGUUGCUCGGUACUCUGCUUAGUAUCAAGAGGUGUUUGGGAUACAAGUUGCUAAACUUUAGCAGAAUCAUAUCGGAUAUUCGGAUGCUAAUUAGGAAGAGUAAAUAUGAUCUAAUUACAAAACUAAUUGCACAGAUGGAGUCUAAUUCGUGAGACGAAUCUAUUAAGCCUAAUUAGUCCAUGAUUUGACAAUGUGGUGCCACAGUAAAUGAUGGAUUAAUUAGCUUUAAUAGAUCUCGCGAAUUAGACUCCAUCUGUGCAAUUAAUUUUAUAAUUAGACUAUGUUUAAUACUACUAAUUAGUAUCAAACAUCCAAUGUGACAGGUGCUAAAGUUUAACGGGAGUAUCCAAACCACCCCUUAGAUCAUAUGCCAGUGCUACCAAUAGAAACGUGUCAUUAAUUCAAUCAGUCAGUGGCAAAUUAAUACACAGUAAGCAUCAUCAAACCGAGCAUACAGAUGCUAGAAAUAGGUAAGCAUGAUUAGCCGGUUACACAUGAACGAUCAGAUGAUCGCACACAAGAGAAAGCCAAGCAGGCUACUACAUAUGCACACCUGCACAGCAUGAGGCAGAGUCUUGCUUCGCUAUCUCCAUGACACCAACAAAGUUGUGAUCUUCGAUUGCGUCCGAGAUAUACCGAUAUUUAGACAAGUCGGGUCUGCUAUUCCAAUAGAAGCCUUUCAUGAGGAAACUUUCCCGCCGGUUUUGGUGUCGCUCCUAUGUUGUUUAUUUUUCUUGAAACUUGACUUUGACUUGCGACCGGUAACCAUGAGAUCACAAAUUCUCAUGUCUACCUCUGUAUCAUCAAAGCCAAUAUCCGAGACAUCUUGGACCUGCUGUGUCGUAGCCAUCAGCUGUUUAGCUGAAGCCUUCUCGGACUCUGCCUCUUCAAUUUUCUUCUGAGUGCGUUCCAGGUAGGCAGCAUAGGCUUGCAGCAAACAGAAGAUCAGUAAAUUGGUUGAAAAGGCCAUCAUAUGUAUACAAAUUAUAUAUAUACCCAAAAAAAAAGCCUUACCAGCAAUCUCCUUCUUGAGAGCUGCCUUGGUCUCAACAAGUUUACGGUCCAUAGCCAUCAGCUGGUCAACGGCAGUCUCCGAUUUGGUCACUUGAGUUUGGAGAUGGCCGAUCUCCUCGAAGUUAGAUGCAGCUUGGCAAAGGAUUGCCUGCAAAACACGUGUAAGAAAAAGAAAAAGAUCAACAACUUGACUACAGGUCAUACCUCUGCUUGCUUGAGGCACGGAACAGACUCCAGAAUAAUGUCCCCGGAGUUUUUGGUCCCAAUAUCAGUGCAUCCAUUGAGCCCGUCAUUCAAGCCCUGAGAAGUUGACUGAACUGUUGGAAUGUGGAAAGUUUAAAGAAGAGAUGGGCUCAGUGACAAUGUUGAAAUCUAUUCAGAUGAACAUGGAGUUACGAGAUACGCAGAGAAAAUCCAUAGGCAGAAUUGCAGAUGAAAUGGAGUUACAAGAUACACAGAUGAACAUGGAGUCACAAGUUUACUCGGCCAAGUUUUUUUUUGAAUUUUCUAAAAAAUGUAUCACAUACUCCAGAUGAAUAAAUAUGGACACUUCAAUGGACAGUUGGCUUACUUUUGACUAAUCUUCAGUUUUUCUAUUGACACCAAUUUUCUCAGCCAAUGAUGCAUACACCAAGUUGGAGCUUGAGUCUAAUUGUUUGAAAGUGGGAAAGAAAACGAACUUUGUCAUAAUGCCUUUGGUGCACAGCCCAAAAAAAAACAAAGCUGAACAAUGAAUAUUAGGGCUGGCUAUGCUUAAAACCAACCUGCUUGCAUAAACAAGUGCACAUCAGACCAAAAUAAUUUGGCAAUACUUGAAAAGGGUUAAACCCUAUUACUCAGGUAACCUAUAAUAGCUAUAUUAAAAAUUUCAGCAUCAAUACUUUUAAGGAUUUUUUGUAACUAUAUUUUGAAGGUUUGAUGGAACUGGAUCAAUUGAAAAUAUGUGAUGCAUGGCAUAAAUAUAACUGAUGAUUCUAUUUUGGUGAAUUUUGAGAAACUUCCCAUCACCAUACAUACAAAAAGGGGCAUGUAAAAAGAUUGUAUACCUUCCACAGACGACUUGACCUCCUCAGGCUGUGGAAUUGGAAAGAAUGUUCUGUACAGCUCCUCAAGUUGCAGCAAGUCCUUUCUCUUAGUGUCAAUCUCAUUUUCCAGAAUCUUCAUAAUCUUCAUAAUCUUGAUUGAUAACAAGAAAAGUUACAGCAAAUUAGACAUUUCUACUCUACCUCCAGAACUUAGUAAGCAUUCACAAACUUCUAAUGAACCAUGAUUUCAUUUUGAUUAGCCCAGGUUUACAUUGAACUAACCCUUCAUCCAUGGUACAAGUGUAAUAAACAUAGGAGGUCUCAGGUCUAGUGUUGUGAUUCUCUUCUUCUUAAGCGAAUGGCCGAGCUCCUGCGCUUCCUUUAAAAGAAAUUACUAAAUGAAAUCUUACAUGCUUAUAGAGGCCUUGCAGCUCCUUAUUCCACUUCCUCAUGCUAUCGUUGAUCUUGGCCUGCAACUCCUCAUUCCCCUUCGUCAGGCCAUCAUCCUUGGCCUGCAGCUCCUCAAUCCGCUUCGUUAGGCUGUCAUUCCUGGCCUGCAGCUCCUUGUUCCCCUUCGUUAGGCUUCCAUUCUUGGCUUGCAGCUUCUCACUCCGCUUCCUUUGGCCGUCAUUCUCUGCAUGCACCUCCUCAAUCCGCACCAUGAGGCCGACAUUCUUGGCUUGUAGCAUCUCAGUCUGCUUCCUGAGGCCAUCAUUCUUGGCUUGCAGCUCCUUAUUCUGCUUCAUCAGGUCAUCAAUCUUGGCUUGCAGCCCUGCACUCCACUUCAUUAGGCCGGCAUUUUUGGCAUGCAGCCUCCUGUUCUGCUUCAUCAUGACAUCACUAAUGGUUUGCAGCUCCGCUAGGCUGACAUUCUUGGCUUGCAGCUGCUCAUUAUGAAUCACUAGCCCAUCAUGCUUGGAUUGCAGCUCCUCAUUCUGUUGCAUCAGGCCGUCAUUGUUUGCUUUCAACUCAUUCUGGAUAGUUAGGCCGCCAUUUUUGGCUUUUGGCUCCCCAUUCACCAUCUUCAUGCCGUCAUUACUGGUUUGCAGUACCUCAUUCUGCUUCACCAGGCCACCAUUAUUUGCUUGCAACUCCUCAUUCUGCUUCACCAGGCCAUCAUUCUUGUCGUACAACUCCUCAUUCAGCUUUCUCAUUCCAUCAUACUUGGCCUGCAUCUCCUCAUUCUGCUUCCUCAAGCACUGUAUCUCUUUCACUUUCACAGCCAGCUCAACUCUCAGCUUCUGAUUCGCCUCACAGUAUCCAAGCUCUUUCACAUCCUCAUCUAGUUGAGCCCUCAGGUCUUUGAUCUCCUUUAAAAUUCUCUGAGAAUCCUCACACACCACCGUCAAAUGUUCUGCCCAUGGGUGACAAAUAUUAAAGCCAGCAUGAAGAAGAGCGUGAAUGAUUGAAGUGGCUUUUCAGUAACACGUACCUCCAUUCCCAACCAGACUGCCCAAAUCUCCGGACAGAACCGCGGCUUUCCUCUUUCUGCUUCCAGAUUCUGCCCCAAGAUCCUGACCUGCUGCAGCUGCAAAAACAAAGAAAUGAUUUCCCUUGAGUAAGUGUAAGCUAGAUACCCCAUUUCAGGUGCAGCAAGGCGAGUAAUGUAGUACGAGUCUGUUCCUGAGAAUAUUACACAUCACUGCUGACCACAAACAAAGACAGUAAAAGGAAUGAGAGAAUGAGAUGGCUGAACACAAACUGAUUUGUUUCAACAAUAAGAAGUGUCAACAAAACUGAUGAUCCAAGCAACCGAUUAGAGUCAGUCGACAUAUCGUGUCAGCAUUCAGAUACUCUGCAUGCUUGAUUUUGACCAAUACUCACAGUUGAUUUCACUUGACAUUUGCCUUAAUUCAAGCGCGAUUGCUCCCCGGUAGCCGUAUCACGCCACUAUACUCCUCUAUUUCCACAAGUUCCACCAUUCAGACUAUUACUCCUGAAGGCCAAAAGGUCUCGAAUCGAAAGAGUAUGCGACCCUCACCCAAGGUCGCAGGAAAUGAAAUGAAGGGAAUGAGCAAUCCGGUAUUCGAAAUGCAUGACAGAUCAGACUAGGUAUCCACGCCGCUCGACCGCAAAGAACAACAGGGAAGUGUAGCUAAACUGAAAUGCAGGGAAGUAGUACAAGCAGAUCAAGGGCUCCAGGCACCCUCGCAAACAAAAAUAAAAAAUAGAAAAAGAAAUGUGAUCAGGUGGGAGAAAGAGAAAUCGUGGCUUCUCUUACCACCAGCAGCACUUGGAUCGACUCCACGGGGGAUGGGCCGCCCGCCGCCCUCUCCCGCCCCGUCGUCUCCGCCGGCGGGGGCCAUGGCUACGGCGGAGGAAAGAGUGGUGUUUUUCUUUGUUGCCUCGCUUGCUAACGGCAGGCCACGGGGGUGCGACGUGUCACUUGUGAGCUCUCUGCCUCUCUGCGCCUGUCUCUCGAGUAUCCACCUCCCACUCUCCCCAAUAAAAAAUAUUUUUUAUGCUCUCUUUCCAAAAUAUUGUUUAUGCUUUGAUUGCCUACUUAACGCAAAGUACUCCUCUAUCUACAAAUGAGACACCGAAGAGAGAGAGAGAGAGAGAGAGAGAGUGCAUGGCAUUAACUGCACAUUUUACCUGAAAACGAUUGAGGGUGCCAUGAACAGACAUGUCUACAUACAUACAUCAUUAUCAUUGUGUCAAACUCUAAAAUAACUUACCGAAUGCAUUUGCAGUCGUGGGGAAUAUUUCUAGAACAAUUUAAAUUGCAUUUAAAAACUCAUAUAAGAAAAGAAGACAUUGCAUAUACAAUGGAAUGGAAUACCAUGUUUGAAUGCAAAACUGAAUCCCUGCAAUGGAACUGGGGUUUUUUUUUCAAAGAAAAAACAAAAAAAUUGCUCAUCUCACAACAGUAGGCGUCAGUGUAGCCUUAUCAGAGUUUGCUCCUGCUAAAACCAUCACCAUAUGUCCAUAACCCCUCAUGCACGCUCUGAAAUGAGAUACCUCAACCACGCAAGAACACAACGGCUUAGUAAUCAGAUGCAAUGCAAGUGCCACCAAUAGAAACUUGUUCUCCAAUGCAGACAGUCAGUGGGAAAUGCCACUGCAUUGAUUUUACAAAGAAAAAAAUGAAUACUCCAAAAUGAUCAGAUGAACAUGUAUCAUCGGACCAACACCAGGUAGCUAAAUUACGGUACAAAUGCUGUAAAUAGGCAGCAUGAUAAGCCGAUUACGCAUGAAUGCUCAGACGAUCGCACACAAUUGAAAGCCAAGCAAGGCCACAGCACUUGCACCACACCUGCACAAUAAUACAAUAUACAGACACCUAGGAACACAAAGGCAACGGGUUGGUGUCAUUCAGUUCACCGAUCACAUCAGUUUUCAGGACAGAAAGCGGCAACAACACCACCACAUGCACACAUCACAUACGCUUGUAAUGUCUCUAGGCAAAGGGAGAACACAGAGGAUACAUCUCCUACCUCAGGAGUCAGGAGGGGGGAUCCAGCAGCACAGCUGCACGCGGCUCCCACAAAAGCACCAAUGGCGCGCAUGCACUACUACUUAGUGGCUUGGUGGGCUUGAGGACCCUGUGUUGUUUCACGUUUCAUCUGCCCAAACAGGUGCUUGAGGACCUCCUCCAUCGUCGCCCUCCAGCCUUCCCCAAAGUUCCAGAGCUCGGGCACCACAUAACGCCCGCUGGGGUUGUACUCGUUCAUCUCCAUCAGCGCGGCCUUCACUGCAUUGCACACAUCCUCGCCAUACUCGAUCAGCAGGAACUUCAGUUUUGGAUCAUCGUCAUCUAGAAAUUCCUGCAACAAAGUAGGAUGACUAUGAUUCCCAAACAAAUACUAGCCUCUACAAAUGCCAAAGAUAACACCAAACUUGGAUAGAAAAAUACAGUAAAUACCUUGUGUUCUCCAUUAACCUGAACAAUCAUAAAAGGAUGCCAGAAUGGGUUCUUCAAUUCCUCCUGCCAAGUUGAGACCAACUCUGCUGCUCUCAUCUGGUAAUCGUCGUCUCCAUAUUUUCUCUUACAUGCAUCUUGAAAUGGCUUCUCGUUAAGUUCUCCCAUUCUUUUGAUCCCAAUAGCUCUCUGCCCAUUUAACUCGUCUAAACCCUGAGGAUCACGAUAAUCAUUUCAUCAAUGAAAAACAGCUUAUGAACAUCUGCUGAUGGAGAACACGUUAGAUGCAUGGUAACUGUUAAAACAUUCACAAAAAUAAAACGAGCAGUACCACAAUCAACUCUUCAAACUUUCACGCUCUUUCCUCACAAGACAUCCGGUCAAAUCUUCCAGCCCGUCAUUAUUAGAUUCCAGCUCCUCAAUCCCAUUCAUCAGGCUACAAAUCGUGGCUUGCAGGUCCUCAUUCCUCUUCAUUAGUCCAUCAUUCUUGGCUUGAACUUCCUCACUCUGCUUUGUUAGGCCAACAUUCUUGGCUUGCAGCUCUCCAUUCCGCUUCCUCAUGCUGUCUAUAUUGGUGUGCAGCUCCUCAUUCUCCCUCGCCAGAUCGUCAUUCUUGGUUUGGAGGUCCUUAUUCUGCUUAGCCAGGCAAUCAUUCUUGGCCUGCAGCUCCUUAUUCUGCUUCACCAGGCCGACAUUCUUUGCUUGCAGCUCCUCAUUCCCCUUUGUUAGGCUUACAUUCUCGACCUGCAGCGCCCCAUUCCGCUUCCUCAUGAUGUCUAUUGGUUCGCAGCUCAUCAUUCUCCUUCACCAGAUCAUCAUUCUUGGCUUGCAGUUCCUUGUUCUGCUUCGCCAGGUCAUCAUUCUUGACAUGCAGCUCCUCAUUCUGCUUCCUCAUUCCAUCAUUCUUGCCUUGCACCUCCUCAUUCUGCUUCCUCAGGCACUGCAUCUCUUUCGCCUUCAGAACCAGCUUAACUCUCAGCUUCUCAUUCUCCUCAACCAGAUCAUCAUUCUUGGCUUGCAGGUCCUUGUUCUGCUUCGCCAGGCCAUCGUUCUUGGCCUGCAGCUCCUUAUUCUGCUUCACCAGGCCGGCAUUCUUUGAGUUCAGCUCCUCAUUCCACUUUGAUAGGCCGACAUUCUUGGUUUGCAACUCCCCAUUCUGCUUCCUCAUGCUGUCUUUAUUGGUUCGCAGCUCCUCAUUCUCCUUCACCAGAUCAUCAUUCUUGGCUUGCAGUUCCUUAUUUUGCUUCGCCAGGCCAUCAUUCUUGGCUUGCAGCUUCUCAUUCUGCUUCCUCAUUCCAUCAUUAUUGCCUUGCACCUCCUCAUUCUGCUUCUUCAGGCACUGCAUCUGUUCCGCCUUCUGAACCAGCUCAACUCUCAGCUUCUCAUUCGCCUCACAGUACCCAAGCUCUUUCACAUCCUUAUCUAUUUGAGCCUUCAGGUCUUCAAUCUCCAUUAAAAGCUUCUGAGAAUCCUCGUACGCCACCUCCAAAUGUUCUGCCCAUGGGCAACAAAUAUUAAAGCCAUGGCAUGAAGGGUGAAAGAUCGAAGUGGGUUUUCAGUAACACGUACCUCCAUUCCCAACCAGAUUGCUCGAAUCUUCAGACAUAACUGCAGCUUUCCUCUUUCUGCUUGCCCCAAGAUCCUGGCCUGCUGCAGCUACAAAAACAAAGAAAACAUUUGCUUUCAAGAAGUGCAAGCUAGAUAACCCACCACAGGUACAACUAGGCGUAUAAUAUAUCACAAAGUCUGUUCCUAAGCCUUACAUAUCACCGCUGAACACAACCAAACACAGUAAAUGGAACGAGAGAAUGAGAUGACCGAACAGAUACUGAUUCUUUUUCAAUAAAACUAAACAUAAAGAUGUGUCAACAAAACUGAUGAUCCAGGCAACCAAUUAGAGUUGACAUAUCGUGUGACAGCCUUCAGAAACUCUGCACGCUUGAUUUUGACUAAUUGUCGCAGUUGAUUUAACUUGGCAUUUGCUUUAAUUCAAAUGCGAUUGUUCCUUGUAGGCAGCAUCACGUCAAUAUACUCCUCUAUUCCUACAAGUUCCACCGCUCAGAUAGUCAGAUUAUUACUCCUGAAGGCCAAAAGGCUUGUGCCUCCAAUCGAAAGAGUAUGGUAUUCGAAAUGCAUAACAGAUCAGACUAGGUAUCCAAAUACACCGCUCGAUCGCAAAGAACAGUAGAGAAGUACUGUAGUAGAUAAACUAAACUGCAGGGAAGUAGUACUAGUAGCAGAUCAAACGCUCAAGGUGCCCUCCCGCAAACAAAAAGAAAAAAAAAUGUGAUUAGGUAAAAGAAAGGGGAACCACCAGCAGAAGCAGAACUUCGAUCAACACCACGGCGCAUGGGCGGCCCGCCGGACUCUCCAGUCUCGUCCCCUCCGCCGUCGGUGGCCAUGGCUACGGCUGCGGAGGAAGAGGGCACUGAUGAAGAGAUGGGGUUUUCUUUUUGCUUUCCUGCCUCGCUUGUUAACGGCACUACCGCACUAGUAGGUAUACAAACUACGCCACUCGACCGCAAAGAACAUCAUAGAAGUAGUAGACAAACUAAACUGCAGGGAAAUUGUAGUUGCAUAUCAAGGGCUUAAGGCACCCUUGCAAUUUGCAAACAAAAGUAGAAAAGAAAAGGGAAAUCGUUUCUUCUCUUACCACCACCAGGAGGAAUUCGAUCGACACCACGGCACACGGGCGACCCGCGGGACUCUCCCAUCUCGUCACCUCCCCGGCGGGGGCCAUGGCUACGGCGGCGGAGGAAGAGGGCACCGAUGAGAAGAGGGGGUUUUCUUCCUUUCUGCCACGCUUGCUAACGGCACUACGGCAGGGGAACGGCCCAAGGUGGGGUUCUGUGAGCUCUCUCGACCUUCCAAGAGACCCACAAGGCUGGUUUGGUUGGAGGCAAUUGAUGGGGGUAGAGAGAGUUUAGAUGCAAAAAAUUAAAAGUAUAUUGUUUGUUGUCUGUUUGGUGGGUUUAGGAAUUUUAAUUGAAAGAGUAAUGGGAGUUUAGAAAAGUAACUCUCACCGAUCACUUUAUAUGAAAGGGGUGGAAAUUUAUUUUAAGUGGAAGAUAGAUGAAUCUACACUGUUAAUCAUUACUUGAUAUAAUUUUCCACCUCUAAAGUCUAAAGCCCACACAAAACAAGAGAUAUGAAAAUCUCACUUAAAUUUCUACUCUUAAUUCCAUCCAAAAGACAAACAUGCAAUGGGACUUGUUGGGAUCUGGAUUUGAAUUGUAAACGUCACCCUCACAUGCCGCUUUAAAGAAUUGGAUCAUCACAAUGAUAAUCGAAAUAAUCUUCACCUUCGCUCAAAGGUAACACCCUCGUUUCCUUUUCUUACCUUCAUCACCUCGGCUGCGAGGGUGCGGGGAAAUUGUUUUGAUCGUGUCUGCAGGUACUCGCGCUGGAGGGCGUGAAGCGAAGGUAUUCGGCAAACUUAGAAGAGCGAGGCGAAGGUUGUGAGCACAUUCGAUGUCCAAAAUCCAAGGCCUAAGAUCAUUUGGGCGAAGGUGUGAAGGAUUAAGGUCACGUUGUGAACGUGACCCCGGUGAUAUGAAUAGCAUGACUCGGUUAGGGUGUACAAAUCGGAUUAGAACUCUUUCUUGUACAACAUAUUUUUGGAAUGUAAUGGUUAAGUGAGGGUAAAUUCGGUAUGUAAAAGUCGGUUGGCCUCCCUAUAAAAGGGGAGGCACCCCCACUGUACAAGGGUUCACAUUUUUUAGAAAUACAAGCCUUAAGAGUUUUGUUUUCCAUUUGUGUGUGCUUUCUUUAAGUUUUCGUUGAAGAGCUCACUCUAAACCAACAUUUUGGCGCCCAUUGUCGGUGUUUUACACUCGGCAACCUACCGAGGGUAUCCUUAGAUAGUAGAUUGGUUGGUGGGGGAUCGUCGGAUCUGGAACUUGAUGGUAAAAUCAAGGAGAUUUAUACAGGUACGGACCGCCAGAGUAGCGUAAUACCCUACAUCCUAUUUGGGGUGUUGUAUAUUGCGGCCCUACGCUUGGGUGUUGCUUGGUGUUGAGGAUUUGAUCCUCUGUUGUGGUUUUGCCGAUCUAGGUACCCCUACCCUCCUUUAUAUACUCCAAGGGGGGUGGGAUUACUAGUCGGUUACAAGGCAGAAGUCCUAUUAGAAUUAUAGGGUACGAGUCCUAAUAGAAUUACAGGGGAAUCCUAGGAGUCCGUCUUCUUCCUUCCUUGCAGAUACUAGGGAUUUAUCCCCGACAAGCCACCAAGCGCUUCAUAGUCGAAUGCAGUAGUCUUCAAAUACUUUGUAGAUCCUCACCAAGUAGUAUUAGUUCUCCUCGAGUAAUUUGUCUAGCUGAAUCUUCAAAGUUAUUUGAAGCUACCAUGAAAUUAUGGUGUGCUCAAGUCCUUGAUCGUCUUGAUUUCGUAAUCUUCAUCUUUGGAAUGUGAUAUGGAGGGCGGCGGAAGUUGCACUCCAUAUGGAGUAACCCCUGAGCCUUAGGUUGAAUCGAAGAAUCAGGCUAAGGGUCAAUAAAAUCUUGAAUCUUCUUCUUUUAUCUUGAAAAAAUCAACUACUGGGUGUAGCUUAUUAGCCCCCGAGCCUUGGAAUGAUUAAAUAAUCAAUCUGAGGGUUUUCAAUCUUCACAAAAUUAUCAUCUGAGUAGUUUCGCGGCAUUCAAACCCCAAGCUUUGGAGCUGGGUGAACCGUAGGAGCCACAUCGAGUAGUUAUUUGGCGCUUAGCCCCCGAGCUUGGAAGCUAGCUGAGCCAUUGGAGAUAUUACUGAGUACUAAUUGGUGCUUAGCCCCUCGAGUUUAGGAACUAGCUAAGCCAAUGGAGGUAUGCUGAGCGUCCUGGAGAGUCAUCGCCCAAGCUUGACCUAAAAAAUGAUGCAUAUAUUAUGUAGCGUAUUGUAAAUUUUGGAACUACUGAAAAUUAUUUAGUGAUGAAUAUAAUGUAAAUGUUGUGUACCAUGCUCUUGUUUCGGUCAUAUUUUUUUCGAGUAGUUAGCCUAUUACAUUUAGGCUCUCAGUCCCUGUUUAGCCAUUGCCACUGCGUGUGAGAUCUUUGUCUCGUGUACGCGUACUAGCACUGCUGCUACGGAGAUCUUUGUCGCCUAGCGUUUAGGCAUGACAGAAGAUCCGAGACUUUCACGGAUUAAGGUGUUUUCUACUCGAAGAGAUUAGCGACCGCUAAGAAGAGACAUUGAAAAUAAGUAGUUGGCAUUAUGAUAAUAAAAAGAGUGCACUUAAAGUAGUCGUUAAGACUUUUUCUGCCUUUUGGCGAGUAUAGCGCGUGUUGCCAUGCACAAUAUUUGUGCCUCCUUAGGGUGUAACCAAUGUGAGCCUCCAGCGCUCAGUCCAUCAAACUCGUGGCCAUAGCCUCCGAAAUUAAAUGUACCAAACCUAUGGUGGUGCCUCCAGAACUCAGUGCACCAAACCCGUGGCUAUAGCCUCUAUAAUUUUGUGUACCAAGCACAUGGCUGUCGGUCAACAUCCCCCAAGAGUAGUUGGCGAAGUGUAGCUCUAGAGGGUAAUUCUUGUCGAGAGAUGUACACAGAUAGGUAGCCAGCGUAUUGGCCAACCACGCUGAAAACAAGUCAGAGAAAAAAUAAUUAUUAAAAAAGUGAUUUAGCUUGAUUCAUGGGCGAUUGCCGAUGAAGCCAUGGCGGUCGUAGAUGAAGCCACGACAAUUUGUUGAUGAAGCCAACUAGUCGAAGUUGAUUCCAACUAGUUGUCGAUGGUGUGCGACCUGCCCUGACUAGUUUUUUAGUCGAGACGAGUAGUCGAAGUAGUCGUUGGCAAGUCGCGGGUCAAUUUUGUCGAAUGUAUCUAUGCGUGCUGAAACCGCAUACUGCUUUGCCAGAGAUUUGUUGGAGGUUACUAACCUUUAUUGGAGAAUCACCGUGUAGGGAACAGGUGCGGCUCUUUGUUGAUCUCGAUGCUUCCCUUGUGCUCCGUUUUCUUUUUUGCCUCUGCAUGUGAGUAGUAAUUUUCAACUAGUUGAAUUUUUAGCCGCACAGUAGGGACAACAGCCAUGCUCUGCUCCAUUUUGAUGUGUGUGCUGCUACUUGAUUCAACUUUCUGCAGACUUGAUUUUCUACCGAUAACGCAGUAGCUUGUGGAGAUGGAGUCAUUAACGAUUGGUGCAAGUACUCCUCUCCGCCUUGGACUUGAAGAAGUUGACUCCCCCUUGAAACAGAUGCCAGGUCCAACGGGGCCCGAAAAAAUUGAAUCUAUCUCGGAUUGAUAGCAGUAGUCUGCUCUCCGUUGUAAAUUGACUUAGACCAGUGACGCUGACUUCUUUUUUCCGGACUCUGGCGAAUUCCAAAGAUGCGAUGAUGCGCGUCGGCUCCUUCUCGGACUCGACGAGCAACAAAUAGAUUGAUUUUGUGGAUGAGGUCCUUCAAGCUCACCCGAUGAUCUCGACAAUCACCCCUACCUAGCGCGCCAGAUGUCGGUGUUUUAUACUCGGCAACCUACCGAGGGUAUCCCGAGGUAGUAGAUUGGUUGGUAAAGGAAUCGCCGGAUCAGGAACUUGAUGGUAAAAGUGGGGAAACAAGGCACAGAUUUAUACAGGUUUGGGCCGCCAGAGUAGGAUAAUACCCUACGUGCUGUUUAGGGUGUUGUAUAUUGCGCCCUGCGCUUGGGUGUUGUUUGGUGUUGAGGAUUUGGUCCUCUGUUAUGGUUCUGCCGAUCUAGGUACCCCUGCCCCUUUAUAUACUCCAUGGGGCGGGAUUACUAGUCGGUUAUAAGGUAGGAGCCCUAUUAGAAUUACAGGGUAUGAGUCCUAGUGGAAUUAUAGAGGAAUCAUAGUAGGAAUCCAUCUUAUUCCUUCCUUGCCGAUACUAGGAAUCUAUCCCCGACACCCACCAUUUGUGCUCGAGAAGAAUUCACGAUGGCUCCUGCUAGGAAGAAGAUAACGAUGGCAAAUUCAAGCAAAUCAAUCCCGAGUGAAGAAGCAAACCCUAGAGGCCCAAAUGCAAGCAUAAAUCAAGAAGCCAAAGGGAAAAUGGUGAGAAUCCCCCACAGCAAGAGACUACCACAGACCAGCAAGAAACAAGAGCUUCCAUUAAUUUGACUGCACAUGAAAUUGAAAUGGCUAGGCUCAGGCAAGAAGCGGUGGAAUUGAACCAAGCAAGGCAAAUAUUAAUAGAUCAAGCAACAUCGCAGGCCGCUAAAGAGGUGCAACUAGCUAGAGACGAAAUCAAGAGAUUAUGUGAGUGGAAUUGGAACGACUCAAAGAAAAGCAAGUUCAUCAGCAAAACACCUAUGCUCAUCCCAAUCAAGAGAGGCAAGCCCAUCAUCAAAACACCUUCGCUCAAUCCAAUCAAGAAAGGCAAUUCAAGCAGCUGAGCAACUUCGCAAACGAAACACAAGGUUUGGGGUAGGAAUCAUGGCUAAAUAGUUUAAGUCAGGUCCUUCAUCACAAGAAGUGAGAGUCUUGCAUACCAGAACAUGGGAUCAAAAAUCGUCUUUGUCACAAGAGCUCCAGCUAACCCCUUGAUCUCAAACUUACAGGCUAGGACCCUUGCCAAAGUACUCAGGACACUCUGAUACAAGGAAAUUCUUGAUGAGUUAUGAGGCUGCAAUACUAUCAGCCGGAGGUGAUGAAUCAGUUCUGGCAAAGUCUUUUAUCAUUGCAGCAGAAGAUGCAGCAACUAUGUGGUAUUCAUUGUUGAACCCAGGGGUAAUUCAUUCGUGGAAAGAUUUGAAGCUAGGGAUACUGGAAAAUUUCCAGGGUUUUUAGAGACUAAAAUUGACGGAAAAUGAUCUGUUUUGUUGCAAGCAGAAAGAAUAGGAGUCAUUGCAAGGCUAUUUCAAAAGAUUUGUGCACUUGAGAGCGCAAGCUCCAAAUGUGUUAGCUUCAGUAGCUAUCAGAGCGGCCAUCAUUGGCUUAAAGAUAGGGCAAUGUCGAUCCCAUCUCAUGCGAGAAACACCAAAGACAAUCCAAGUGUUGUAUGAAGAAUUUGAGAAAUAUUGUAGGUCUGAUAAUGACUACCUCAUGUUCAUGGAGGAGCAAUCUCAACAAAAGCAGGCUGCAAGACAAAACUAUAGCAACAACAAGGGUUGGGUCAGUCCUAGAAGUAUUCCCACCCAACCAACAAGAAUAGUAUUUGGUGUCAAGGGAAACAAUCAGUCAAAACAGAUGGAGCAGAAUUCUACUAACACAAACAACCAAUCUGCAAACAAUUCAAACACUUAGUCCCAGGGAGGAUUUAGAGGUGGAAGAGGUGGAGGAAGAGGAAGAGGCUGAGGUAGAGGUCAACCCCCUCACCAGAGAAGGAAAUUUCAUUGCAUUUUUCAUGGGGAAAAUUUUGAUCAUGGCUCCACAUAUUGCUCGAACAAGAAAAGGAUGGAUGCAAUACUCGAGAAAGAGAAAAAAACAAAAGGAGAGAAUGAACCUAGUUAAUCACACAUCUACACCUUGGCUUUCACAACCUUAUUGCCCAGUCUACUGAGGAGUAAAUUCAAGAACAGUUCAUGCUUCUACACUUGCAAGCUCAGCAUCCACACCAACUUUCAAUUAUCAGCCAACCCAUGCAUUCAAUUAUUAACCCACACAAGCUUGCAGUUAUCAGUCAACUCCCACUUUCAAUCAUCAACCAAUUUGGCAAUCUCAAACUUUACAAGCUCAGAACGUGGAAAAAAGAGCUCUGCAUGAACACCACAUAAUCCCGUAGCCACCACCAUAUUUCGGAGUAUCAGCACCUCCACAGCCAACGAAGGUGGAAGGGAAAUUAGAGAAAUCAGAUGCAUUGCCGACAAUCGGGAUGAUUAUGCCAAUAACCAGAGGAUCAGCCUUGGAAUUCGAAAGUAAGAAACAAAGAAACAAUUAAAAUUUAGAGAGGUAGGCAACAUAUUUGUGGAAGGCAAAGUGAAGAAAACCAAAUGAUCUCAUGUCCCAAUCACCUUGACGGAGGAUGACAUGCAGUUGAAAAGCUAUCAUCACAAUGAUGCCAUGGUAAUCAAUGCAAACAUUACAAAUUGGGAAUUGGAAAAAUCUUGGUGGAAAAUGGCUCUUCCACGGACAUCAUGUUCGCCAGCACCUUCGACAAGAUGGAGUUAAACAGGAAUCUGUUGCAACCCCCAGACACGCCGUUGUAUGGUGUCGGAGGAAAAGUAAUACAUGCAUUAGGAAAAAUUUCCUAACCAGUCUCGUUCCAAACAGUUCAAAAUUCAAGAACAGAGUAUAUAUCAUUUGAUGUGGUUGAAAUGUAUUAUCCAUAGUUCGGAAUUUUUGGUAGAGGAUUUUUUGAACAAAUUUGAAGCUGCAAUUCAUCAACCCUAUCUAUGUAUGAAGAUGCCUACGUUGCAUGGUGUCAUCACCAUUUUUGGAGAUCAAGGUGACGGAAAAAACAUAGAAAGGAGGAGAAUUCUGGGUCAAAGAAAUGUGAAUGCACUUGAGGCAGAGAGUCAAGUAAAGAAGGUUAUCAAAGAGCCCAAAGGAGAUAAAGAGAAAGUAAACAUCGAGGAAAAUUGUGACACAAAAAGAGUGUUAUUUGAUGACAUGGUCUUUGGCCAUGAAGUAAUCAUCAGGACUGAUCCUGAUCCUGAGGAGGAAGAGAAAUUGGUUGAAUUUCUUCGCAAGAACAAAUAUGUAUUUGCAUGGUCUGCAAAUGAAUUAGUGGGGGUCAACAGAAAUAUUACUGAACACAAGCUAAGCAUCAAAAAAGCAAUAAGACCAAAGAGGCAGAAGCUGAGAAAGAUGUCAGAUGACAAGGUAGCAGCAAUUAAAUCUGAGGUCCAGAGAUUGCUCGAUGCGAAGGUCAUCAGAGAGGUUGAGUAUCCCCAAUGACUAGCCAAUACAGUCCCUAUCAAGAAAAAGAAUGGAAAGUGGAGAAUGUGCAAAGAUUUCACCAAUCUGAAUAAGGCUUGCCCAAAAGAUAAUUUUCCUCUACCUAGAGUUGACAAAGUGAUUGAUGCGGCAGCAAGAGCAGCAUUAUGUCACUCCUCAAUUGUUUCUCAGGUUAUCACCAGGUGUGGAUGAGAAAGGAAGACGAAGAGAAAACCAAUUUCAUCACCCCAUUCGGAACAUAUUGUUUUGUCCAAAUGCCGGAGGGGCUCAAGAACGCUGGGCCAAUGUUCACGCGCAUGACUGAUGAAGUGUUGAAACCUCAUAUUGAUAGAAAUAUAAUGCAUACGUUGAUGACAUCAUCAUGAAAAGUGACCAAAGAGAGGAUCACAUCCAAGAUCUUGCAGAGACUUUCGCUAGGCUCCGCGAAGCAAACUUAAAAUUGAAUCCGGAAAAUUGUGUUUUUGGAUUCCAGAAAGGGAAAAUGUUGGGUUGUCUUGUGUCCACCAAGGGGGUAGAGGCAAACCUAGAUAAGAUAAAAGCAAUCAGAGUUAUGGAAGAACCCAAUUCCAGAAAGGAUCUCCAAAAGCUCAUCGGAAGAAUUGUGGCGCUAAACAGAUUUAUAUCAAAAUCAGCUGAAAGAAGUUUGCCCUUUUUCAAGGUGCUAAGGGGGGCUGGAAAGCUAGAAUGGGGUCCUGAGCAGAGCAAAGCAAUCGCGGAAUUGAAAUAUUACCUUGAGAAAAUAGCUAUACUAUCACCUUGGCAAUUGGGGGAACAUCUCUUCAUGUAUAUUGCCGCAUCCCAAUCAGCGGUAAGCGUCGUCCUAGUGUGAGAAGUUGAAAGCGAAGGUGCAAUGAAACAAAUGCUUGUAUAUUGUGUGUCAGAGGCACUGUCAGGUUCCAAGUUAUUGUAUUCUGAACUGGAAAAGAUUGCUUUUGCAGUGAUCAUGGCAUCCAGAAAGUUAAGGCAUUACUUUGAGGGUCACAAAGUUACCGUGCUAUCAGAUCAACCGUUCAAUGACUUGUUUCCAAACAGAGAAGCUUCAAGCAGAAUUGCAAAAUGGGCAACUGAAUUGUCCAAGCAUGUAAUAGACUUUGAGAAGAGGGGAGCCAUAAAAUCUCAAGUGCUGGCAGAUUUUGUCAUACAUUGGACCGCUCCAGACCAUAGUUGCGAAGGUGAAGAGGUCAUUCCAGUCCGAGAUAUCACCUACGAUGGUGCCUGGUGACGCAAAGCAGUUGGAAUCGCUGCAAUAAUAACAUCACCAUCAGGAGUGAAAAUCAGAUACACUGCAAGACUGCAAUACUCAGAUCCAUCACAUAAGUGCACAAACAAUACCACAGAAUAUGAGGCACUAUUGCUUGGUCUACGCAAAGUUAAAGCAUUGAGGGCAACAAAUUUCUUGGUAAAAUUGGAUGCAAAAGUAAUCAAAGAGCAAAUCGAAAAAGAAUGCGAGGUCAGAGAGCCGGAAUUGAUAAAAUACUUAGCGAAGGUUAGGAGAAUGGAAAGGCAUUUUAGGGGAGAUUGAAGAUUAUCUUGACCCCCUAAGUGGGUUUUGGUGAAUUAAUGACACAAGCUUAAGUGUCUAAUGAACUUUAAAGUGCAUGAGCAGGUUUAAAAUGAUUGGUGGACAUGUAGGACUUGUGGAUGACCCUCAAAAAGGAAAUGAAUGAAUAUGAGGCAUACCUUGAAGGCUAAAUUUAUUUUUUGUUUGAAUUUUGAGUAUAGGAAUGCCGCACUAUUAAGAAGGAUACAUAAUCUUUGGUCAUUACGUUGAAAAAGGUGCUUAAGAUGACCUAAUCAACCUAUGAGAGAUAUCUUUGCACUGGCACUUCACUUGGGGAUACUUAGAAUGGUGCUGAUAUGAGAGCUCCAGAAUAUUCAGGAGGUUCCGGAGUUUUCGGAGAAAGUUCCAAAAAACUCCAGAACUUAACGUCCCAACGGCUAGUUUUGGGGCGAAGGGGUAUAAUUACCCCCUCACCCUCUCGCACAGUUAGGCUCUUGACCUAACUUCGUGCUGAGCUUCAGAAAAGCAUUCAAGUCCUCCUCUUUACUCUCCUUUAGCAUUCUUAGUGAGAUUUGGUGGAGAUUUAAGGAGGGAUUCAAGGGAAGGGCAAGAGAGUGUGCUAGUGAGCUGAUUUCCCAUCUCUUGAGCACCUUGUUCUUCAUCAAGCCGGUGAUUUUGUGUUGGUUACUCUUGGAGCUUCAAGCUCCUAGCCGGCUAGGCAUUGCCCAUGGAGCAUCCAAGGUUGUGGCUACCUACAUGAAGUUUGUAUUACCCCGAUGAUUGAGUAAGUGACUCUAUCUCAAUCUUUAUGGUCGCUAGAGUGAGGAAAGUGGCUUAGGUGAGAAAAGCUCACCCUUUGUGGGUUCCUCAAUGGAGACGUAGGCUUCAAGUGUGGAGCUGAACUUCGGUAGACAAAUCCUUGUGUCUCUUGUGCUUGUUGUUCUUCAUUCCGUUCAUAUUCAAGCAUGGAACAUAUUUCUAGGGUUUGUGCUCAAUCUACUUUUCUAGAAGGUUGCUUGCAGUUCUAUCUUGUCCCAGAGACUUAGAAUACCCUAUCGCUUAACCUAUAUUUGGCGAUUUACUUUUGGACAAGCAUUUCUUAGGGUUGUAGUUCACUCACAUUAUUCUCCGGAGAAUCCGCAGAUUUCUCCGAAAAUUCCGUAAGUUGCGGAAUUUCUGGAACAAUCUUUGAAAACUCCGAAUGUUGCUUAUAAACUUGUUCAAAGUUGUGUAAAAUUUUCAAGUUCGACUAUUCAACCCCCCCCCACCCCCACUCUAGUCGACAUCCUAGAUCCUUUCAGUUUCACUGUUGAGCAUUACCAAGAAAAGGGAAUGGUGAGGUUGAUGAUUUAGCAAAGAAAGCCUCCAAAAAUGAGCAAUUACCACCAUAUGUAUUCUUUGAAGUCAUUACAACUCCAUCGAUAAAACGAGACAAGCAACCAAUGAGUUUAGUAAAUGCAAUUAGCAGCAUGGAUUGGAGAUCCCCAAUCAUCGCUUACCUUCGCAGCAAGUAUGAACCAGUAGAGGAGCACAAACUCAAGCACAUGAAGCAAAGAGCGAGAGGCUACAUCAUGAAAGGGGAAUAUUUGUACAAGUUGGGAGUGAGUGCAUCGUUGCUAAAGUGCAUCUCACAAGAAGAGGGAAUCGAAUUGCUGAAAUAAAUCCACAGUGGAUACUGCGGAUGUCAUAUUGGGGUUAGAGCAUUAGUUGGAAAAGCUUUCAAGCAGGGAUUCUAUUAGCUAAUGGCAAUCAGAGAUGUUGAGCAAAUUGUCAGAAUGUGCAAGGCGUGCCAAUUUGCAACCAAACAUCAACGAGUACCGGGAUUACCUUUGCAGUUAAUCACUCCCACCUGGCCGUUACAGAGAUGGAGAAUGGAUAUAGUGGGUCCAUUGCCAACAGCUCAAGGAAAUUACAAAUAUGCAGCCGUAGCAGUCGAAUAUUUUACCAAAUGGAUUGAGGCAAGGCCUUUGACAACAAUCACCUUCGAAACCAUGAGAAAAUUUUUCUGGCAGCAAAUCAUAUGCAGGUUCGGAGUCCCAAGGGAAUUAACCAUCGAUAAUGGCAAGCAGUUUGAUUGCUAUGAGUUCAGGCAGUAUUGUGGGAUGAUUGGAACCAAGCUAAACUUCGCAUCAGUAUACCACCCAAGAUCCAACGGGGCUGUAGAAAGAGCAAACAGUGAGAUUUUCACCGCAAUCAAGAAAUGCCUUUUCGAUUAGAAAAAGGGAAAGUAGGCAAAAGAGUUGCCGAGGGUAGUUUGGUCUCACAACACAACCGAGUUCAAAAUAAUUAAGUUCACUCCAUUCAUAUUGCUCUACGAGGCUGAGGCAAUGUGCCUGGAGGCAAUAGCACACCAGAGUGCGAGGGUAAUAGCUGAGCAAAAUGAGGAAAAUGAGGCAAUAGACAAAUAUAUCAUUGAGAUUGAUAGGCUUGAGGCAGCCGAGAACUUAGAAAAAUAUCAAGAACAAACAAGAAAGUGGAGAGAUAAAAAGGUUGUCAGAAAAGACAUCAAAGUGGGAGAUUUCAUUCUUAAAAGAAAAAAGAGUGCAGAAACCGUAGGCAAAUUGCAAGUAGCUUGAGAAGGACCGUAUCUGGUUGUGAGCAGCGUCAGGCCAGGAGCUUAUCAUUUGGCCGAUGAAGAGGGGGAGGAGCUGCCACAUUCGUGGAAUGUGGACAACCUUUGCAAGUUCUAUCCUUGAGCAAAAAAUAGGUGCGGGGUCAGUUGCAUGGAGUUAUAAGCACAAUCAGGUCCUAAAAAUAGCAUAGUUUUACUUUAUUGCAAUUUAUUUUACCUCAAAAUGUAAGCGCAGGGUCGGUAGCAUGGAGUUAUAAACGCAAUCGGAUCCCUGGGCAGCGCAAUUUUACAUUCUUGCGAAUUUACAUUUCUACAAAAUGGGUCAUACUCUUUUCCUCACUAGGGGGGCUCCACAUCGGAGGUGAGGUUUUUAAUGAGGCGAUCCUGAUGUAAUCAUUUACAUUAUGAAGAAAAGAAAUUCCCCCUGAAACCGUGCUCGAGAAUGCGCAUGUGAUGCGAUAACUUUACUUUUAUGUCUAAGAACACAUUCGCAUGGGGUGUCAGAAAGAACACACCUGUGACGCGAUAACUUUACUUUUAUCUCUAAGAACACCUUCGCAUGGGGUGUCAAAAAGAACGCGCUUGUGACGCGAUAACUUCACUUUUAUGUCUGAGAACACCUUUGCAUGUGUGUCAGAAAGAACGCGCAUGUGACACGAUAACUUUACUUUUAUGUCUGAAAACACCUACGCAUAAGGUGUUAAAAGAAUGUGCCUGUGACGCACCUUAUCAUCUUUCUAUAAGAGAAAGAGAUAAGAAAACACCUUCGCACAAGGUGUGAAAAGAAUCCGCCUGUGAUGCACCCAAUCUUCUUUCUAUAAGAGAAAGAGAGAAAGAGAUAAGAAAACACGUUCGCACAAGGGGAUAAAAAAAUGCGCCUGUGACGCACCUUAUCGUCUUUCUAUAAGAUAAAGAGAUAAGAAAACACCUUUGCACAAGGUGUUAAAAGAAUGCACCUGUGACGCACCCAAUUUUCUUUCUAUAAGAGAAAGAGAUAAGAAAACACCUUCGCACAAGGUGAUAAAAUAAUGCGCUUGUGACACACCUUAUCGUCUUUCUAUAAGAGAAAGAGAUAAGAAAACACCGUCGCACAAGAUGUUAGAAGAAUGCACUUGUGACGUGUCUUAUCAUCUUUCUAUAAGAGAAAAAUUUAAGGAAGAGAUUCGGCAUGUGAAGGUGUCAGAGAAAGAUAUCAUGAUCAUCGAAAACAAACUAGGAAGUAAAAAAUAAGAAAUUAACGUCGAAAGCAACCUAAAGGUUGCCAAUUCGACACACACAAGAGUUGGACCUGCGAAGGUUUUCAGCUAAAUGAAUCCAUCUCAGGCCAUGUUCAAUUAUAAAAGCUUACAAAGAAACAGUUUCCUCUGCAUCUCUAUCACUUUCUGAAAGGGGGAAGACCUUUUUUGUAAAAAAAAUUCCGAAAGUGAUCGAGACUUGAGGAAAAUCAAAAGUUUACAAUUCAAAAGGGAAGUUCGACAACACAGCCUACACGAACAGAGGCUAUGCUAGGAUCAAAACCAUUAUAUAUAAAGCAAUAUUCUUCAUCCUUGGGGCACUCAUUUUCGAUCUUGACCUCCGCAGCAUACGAUUCAAAAUCUGAUGCUUGGGAUCGACUAACCCGUCCACCACCAGUAGAAUCAAGCAAGUGACAUAGUGCAUAGCUGCGCAAUGGAUAAUAGGAACAACAAAAAUGCUAAAAAUCUUCAAAGGACUUAUCCGGGAUACUUAGCAUGAUAAACCGUCCAAGAAUGGCUACUGACGCACAAGCCUUCUCGAUAGAAUGUUCUGGGAACAACAUCACGCACAGUUUCAUCACAUGGAACCUGCGCCACAAUUGAUAUUUACAACAAAAUGAGUAAUAGUUUUUCCACUUAACAAACAUUAUUUACACCUUCGGCUCCUAUUCAAUACUUGGCAGAUCUUGAGGUUGUGCAUCAUGCGGCAAUGAUUCUUGGGGCUGGGAAACCCGAGGAUCUUCAGGCACGGAUGAUGUAGAGGGUUUUAUAGUUUCAAGAGCAGUAGACGCCAAGGGCGCCAUCUCUGCAGACUGACAGUUGGGCUUUGGGGCCGGCCAUUGACAUGGAGGAGCAUAUGAGCCUUGAGUGGCAGAAUCCCAAUGAAGAGCUUGAAGCUUGCAAAUCUCCAUUGUCUGUUUUUCCUGGCCAAGAUAGAACUAUGAGGUAGUAACCUCAUAGCAUCAAAAAGUAUUUCAAAAGCAUUCUCAAGAUUGCAAAAAAUAAAAGACUAAAGGAGAAAACUACCUAUGCGAGACGGUCGGCAGCCUUUCUACGGACACCUUCGCGGCCGCUUUUAAUCUAGAACUCCCUCAGAAAUAACUUUGACACGGCAUCGACAUUACGACUAGGGGCUAGAAUUUCAGAGUGAUCUGGAAACUUGAAACCGCAUGAUCCAAAUUUUUUGAAGUGAUUGCAUCCUUCACCUUCAAGAAUUUGAAGCAAGGACUCAGCAGUUGUACCCACGCCAUAAUCACCAACCUUGGAUAAGAUCUCAGGCAAGAAUUUUAACUCAUCCGACAGCCAUUGGAAGAGUGUUCCUGUGUUCCUAGACCCAGGAAAAGGCUGUGGCUCAGUGCCAAACAGGUUAAGAGCACCGCGAUAUUGGUGAUUUAUGUGAAGGCCCCAUUGCUAAUUUUUUUGUUCAUUUUCUUCAAGAAUUUUCUCUUGAGACGCAUUAACUUGCCUUAAUUUAGAAAUUAUCUUAUCCUUAGUCACCAAAUCCCUAGCUUGCGUGAUCGCAGUCAUCUUGAUAUUUACAAGCUCCUUGCGAACCCUGUGAAAGCACUCUGCAUCUUUCUCAAUCGUCACGCGAAGGUUAUCGAGAGCUAUCUCUUGUUGCUCAUUACGCAAGGUCAAAGACUUAACCUCAGCAUAGAGGUCUUUAUUGUUCGCUUCCAUUUGAGCAAUUUGAUCCUUUAGCCUCUGUACCUCGGCAGCGAGAUCUGCUUGCUCAAUGCGUAGGUCUUCCAUCUCGUUGAAAACAUUUUCACAACCAAGUUUUCCAGCAAUCAUCCCUUUCAUUGUGAACGUCGUCAUCAAUGAGCAAAGCUCAAGUCCAUUGAGACCAUCGAUUCAUGACUCAAAGGCUGCCAAAAAGAAUACAUUAGGAUUUUCUCUACAAGCGAAACAAAAAAAUAAAUAAUAAAAACGUCAUUAGCAAAGGUGUUAACCUUUCGAAUCGAAAAAUUGAUAUUGCGGAAUUUCAGUGUUAGCCUCACCAAAGUUAACAUCUGCGCCUUUGAAGGAAUCCCCUUUUUCAACAUUUGUUUCAAAUGACGUCAUGUCUCUAACCAAUCUCAGUUCAUCUGAGUCAAGUUGACUCAAGGAAAGCAACGCACGAGCAGCAGUUUCACCAUCUGCGCAAGCCAGGCAAUUUAAUAGCAGGACAAAUUGAAUACAAAACAAAAACACAAAGUAACAUUGGAGACAAGUCAAAGGUAACCUUUAGGGGGAGAGCAAAUCCCUUUACCCUUUACAUAUGAGGGAAUCUCAAGAACCUUAGGAAAGGAGAAAUCCUCAUCAGUCUUGGACGUAAGAGAAUUCCUUUCGUCAGCAAUCUCAGGGGGCAAGGUCUCAUUGUCUUUGCUUUCUUGAGAAUUUAGCACAGGAGACAAAUUAAGAGGCAAUUUAUUAGAUGAGCCAUCAACAUGCUUGGCCCCGCAUGACUCGGGCGUCAAUACUUUGCUAAAAACAGCUGUGUCUUUGUCACAGUCAAUUGGAUCCUCAUCUAAAUAAAUCACGCUUUCAUCUUGAUCCAAAAUGUCAAUCAUCCUAGCAAAGGCAGUAGCGGAGGUGCUAGGCAUUUCGGCCUCAAAAUUGAAAUGCAUGUCCUCCAUACGCUGAUAGUAUUCAGCAACCGAGCCUCAAUGUUGAUCAAUUUCACAUUCAAGAGCAUCAGUUCCACCAAACUAUCAUGAGGAGCAUCCGCAGGCUCGGGUGUGGGGGUCGCCUUAGCUCCCGGUGCAACUCCGCGUUCAAUCUCAUGAUGCUUAGAAGCAACACUUUGAGUUUCAAGCACUUGGAGUGAAGGCGAGCCCUCAACACUUGGCGGUGCGCUGGGAAUUAUCUUACGUUGUUUAAUAGCGGCACCAGCAGUUUCAAUUUCUCUUUUACGUUUCUACAGUGCCGUUACAACUUUCAUGGAUUCAGAAACAUCUAAUGACCCAGCAACGACCAGUUUUUUCUUCUUGGAAAGCCUUUUCUUCUUGACCUUGGGAAUCUGAGAGCCAACGUUUCCCGGCAAAACUAUUUUCUUCGCAGGCCUACCAGGACGCAGGUGCGGGCUGUAAGAAAUUUUCAUCUCGUCAAACACCUGAUUGAUUCAUCCACCGUGUUUCAAAGCUAUCAUCGCAGUCUCGUGUUCCUUCAAUGAAUAGUUACCAAUCAGAAGAACAGCCUGCCUCUCAAUUUCAGCCAUGAACUCUGCAUCUGAUACCCCAUCUGGCUUUUUAACACCAAAUUUUGGAAAUUUAAUCUCUAGGUCUGUGUCGGGGAUCCUUUUGUUAACAAAACUAGUUGGUUUCCAACCAUAGCGCGAGGGCCAGAUGCCAGCAGCCAAAAACUCUUCAAUGGCAUCUCGACUAGAAACAACUUGACUGACUUGGAAAUAAGCAGAUGUCCCUGGUGAAGAGCGGCUUCGACGGCUAAGAGUGGGCGCGAAUUCCAGUUCCAUAUCCUCAAUUCUUGCAGGCUAAAGGGUACUCCAAAAUUUCCUUACCCUCAAAAUUUUUUCCAGCAACAACAGGAAUGGUUGCAUAGAACCAAUACGAAUCCCACUUCUUUGACCACUUAUUUUUCUGGCCUGGGGCGAGGGCAACUGGCAUUAUGUUUCGACCCAACCACCACGUUCGGAAAGUGCAGCAUCCAUACUGCACCUCGAAUUCUUCUUCACCAAUAAUAAUAUGCUUCUUUUGGAGAUGCAAUUCAAAAUGGCGGGAGAAAGACUCUGCAUCUAUUUCACCUCUAAAAGAACGACUACACCAAAAAUAGUUUAGGAGCCGGGGGAUAGAAUUUGGGGUUAGCUGAUGAAUUCGGACCUUGUAUGCAACAAGAACAUCUACGAAAGUUUUUUCCAAUGGAAAUCUUAGCCCAGCCACGAAGAAAUCUCAAAAGACCACACACUCAUUAGGCUGUGGAACAGGAAUAUCCUCGUCCCUAGGGGGCUGGCAAUCUCCAGUGUUGAAAUAUCCCUUCUUGACAUAGAAGUCAAUGUCAUUCUGACUAACCAAAGAACAGCCAAAAAAGCAACUGGUGGGAGUUUCCGCAACCAGAUGUUUCACAUUAGCAUCCACAUCUUCAAGAUCAUCACCUCCUUCUUCUCCUUCUCCUUCUCCUUCUUCUCCUUCUUCUUCUUCUUCUUCUUCUUCUUCUUCUUCUUCUUCUUCUUCUUCUUCUUCUUCUCCUACACCCUCAGCAGUAUCACCAUCAUCAAAAUUGCUAGAUCUAUCCUCAUUAGAUCCCCCCUUAGAUGAACUGUUAGCUUCGCGGGCAUGUUGAGUGCCGCCCAGGUCUUCAUCUCCCACGUGAGGUGGUUCAAUAUCAGGAUGCACCGGAUUGUUGACCUGGAUAUCAUGAGCAAUCAGAUUCACCGGAUCGGCAGCAGGGUUUCCUUGAGCGUUGGGAUCCAUUAGAUUGGCAGCAGCCAGCUCCUCCUCAGUCAUCAAUCUAGCAGUACUUUUAACGCAUGCCACUUUAUCUAUCAAAAAAACAAAUUUGUAUAACAUUCAAUUCAUACCAAGUGCAGUGCUAACUUAAAGAAAGAAAAUCACCUUUGCUAGAUCAACAAAGGAUGAAUCGAAAGGGAUGCACGAAUCUCAAAGCACGAAAUCAGAAAGCAGCGACGGCACUUGUCAAAGCGAGGGUGCAGAAAAGUUACCACACCCCCCAAUGGUAACCGUGCUCAACAGUAAAAAAGCAAGGGCAAAAUAGUCAUUUAACUACCUUCGCAGAGAGAUCCAAUCCAGCGAGCAGGGAGACGUUUUUCAAUCCUUGAUCGAGAUCAAAUGAUAUUUCGAGGGUUCAGCCCGCUGGAGUGGACCUCGCCCCCGAGGGGCUACUAUUGGGGAUAUGGAUUUGGAUUGUUAACAUCACCCUCGCACGCCGCUUUAGAGAAUUGGAUCAUCACAAUGAUAAUCAAAAUGAUGUUCACCUUCGCUCAAAGCUAACACCCUCGUUUCCUUUUAUUACCUUCAUCACCUCGCCUGCGAGGGUGCGGCAAAAUUAUUUUGAUCGUGUAUGCAGGUUUUCGCACUGGAGGGCACGAAGCGAAGGUAUUCGGCAAACUUGGCAGAGCGAGGCGAAGGUUGUGAGCACAUUCGAUGUCCGAAAUCCAAGGCCCAUUCAAGAUCAUUUGGGCGAAGGUGUGAAGGAUUAGGGUCACGUUGUGAACGUGACCCCGGUGGCAUGAAUAGCGUGACUCGGUUAGGGUGUACAAAUCGGAUUAGGACUCUUUCUUUACCAAAAUGUACAGCAUAUUCUUAGAAUGUAGUGGUUGAGUGAGGGUAAAUUCGGUAUGUAAAAGUCGUUGGCCUCCCUAUAAAAAAGGAGGCACCACCACAGGUUCAUAUUUUUAAGAAAUACAAGCCUUAAGAGUUUUGUUUUCCAUUUGUGUGUGCUUUCUUUAAGUGUUCGAACCAGCUAAAAUUCAUAUUCCUAAGUAAAUUCCCUCCAUCAACUCCAACCACUAAUUCUCAUGCUUCUUUCUGUUAGUUGCCAAACACACCACACGGUCUACUAUAAGAAACUUUGACUAGAAAUUUCUAAUAAAAAUAUUAUAUGUUAGAAUAUAUCUACUACUAACAUCAAUCUCACGUUGUCAAUAUAUUUAAUUUUUAUAUAUUGAUUACCAAAGCUAAAAAUGUUUAACAAACAAAAAAUGGGAAUAAUUUUGGAAUUCCAAAUAUCUUUGUGAUAGGUGGGAAUAUCGUAUACUACCUCCGAUUGGAUAUUUUAUUUAAGUCUUAGACAAGUCGAUUCAGCCACCCACCUUUCGCCCAUAAAUUGAAUUAUCACCCACUUUUCACCCAUGAAUUGAAUUAUCUCAUUUGUUGUAGGGUUGUCCUUCCAUACUUUCUUUUUAUUGUUGACAAAGCUAGUCGGUUGCCAGUAAGUCGGCCCGUGUUCAAUCACGGCCAGGGUGGGUGGGUGCUCACCUCUUAGAAACAAUUCAGGAAAAGCUUUGCGACUUAUUAAAUAAAGCUAAAAUACUCCCGUCAUCUCUCCCAAAUGAGUUUAGAGAGAGGGGUGUCAGCGGUAGGGCUGCCGGCGGUGGUGGUGGUGGCAAUGAGACUCCUCUACAAUACUUCUGCUGGAAUCGCUAACGUGUGGAGAGAGGUACUGCAGGGGAUCUGCUUCCAGUGGUGGGCAGUAGGAUAAUAACAUAAGCAUUAAGUGUGCACAUUUUACACGAAAAUAUUAGAGGCACCAUAGACAUCUUGUCUACCCCCAUAAUCAUUGUGCUAAACUCUAAAACUACGACUGAAUAUAUUUGUUGUUGUGGGAAUAUUUUAUAGGAUAACCAACUCGAAAUGGAUUAUUCACUCACACGAGAAAGGAGACACUGCCUACAAUGAAAUGUUUGGAUGCAACAUCGAGUUCCUAGUUACAGUUCACAAUAUUACAUCCCCUCAUUCAUCUUCCUCGGAAGGUAUGUCCCUCGAGCCAUUUCAUCUCCUCCAUCUUCAGAGCCAGAAGAGUGUUUAGAUGGUGAUUUUGCAGGGAAACGCAGGUAUCCAGUUCAGUCAACCAAAUGCUCCACUCACAUCAGUAUGCUUCAGAGUAGAGUUUGCUCCUGCAAAACCAUCACCACAUCAAAUGGGACACCUCAAACAACGCAAGAGCGCAGUAAUUCAGCCAGUCAGUGGGAAAUGUUAUUGCAUUGAUUUUUUCUGAACAAAAUAAUACAGGAAUCAUGAAACCAACACCAAGUAGCUGAAAAAGGUACAGAUGCUGAAAAUAGGUAGCAUGACUAACCGAUCACGCAUGCCAGGACUUUGCACUACCACAUAUGUACACCUGCAAAAGAUACAGACACCUAGCUGAUAGGAGCACGAAAGCCACGGGUUAGUAUCAUUCAGUUAACCAAUCACAUCAGUGUUUAGGACGGAAGCGGCAACAGCACCACAUGAGCAUAUCACAUACGCUUGUAAUGUCGUUACGCAAUGGAACGCAGAGCAGUGGCGGAGCAUGCAGAGAAACUGAGAGGGGGCCAAUAACAGAGGAGAUUAGUAUACAUAGAGUGUUUAAGUAGUUAAAUUAGCUGUUCCUUUAAGAAAUUUAGGAGGUUAGGGGGGGCAUGGCCCACCUUGGCCACAAUGAAGCUCUGCCAGUGACGCAGAGGAUGCAUCUCCUAUGUCAAGAGGGAAUGAGCAGCGCAGGGCUCCCACAACGGCACCAACAGGGAUUAUUGGCUUGGUGGUCACACCGAUCAGGGUGCCUCUUCAGCCCCUCCUGCGCUUGGUUAUCAUCUCCAUUUGUCCGUACAGGUAGAGAACCUCCUUCAUCGUCGCCUUCCGGCCUUUCCUGAAGUUCCAGAACACAGGCACCACGUGCCGCUCACUGGGGUUGUACUCGUUUAUCUCCAUCAGCGCAGUCUUCACCGCAUUGCACACAUCAUCGCCGUACUCAAACCGCAGGAGCUUCAGUUUUGCAUCAUCUUCGUCUAAAACUUCCUGCAACAAACGAGGAUUGGUUAUGAUUUCUGGACAAAUACUAACCUCUAUAAACGACAAAGAUAUAUAAUACCUUAGCUGGAUAGAAAAAAACAGCAAAUACCUUAUGCUCUCCAUUAACCUGAACAGCCACAAAAGGAUGCCAGGAUGGCUUCUUCAGUUCACCCUGCCAACUUUCAACCAGCUUUGCAGCUUUGGUCUGGUAAUCGACGUUUCCAUAUUUUCUCUUACAUGCAUUUUGAAAUGGCUUCUCGUCAAGUUCUCCCAUUCUUUUGGUCCCAAUAGCUGGCCGGCCAUUUAACUCGUCCUCCAAACCCUGAGCAUCACGAUGCUCACAACAAUCAUUUCAUCAAUGGAAAACAUCUUAUGAACAUCAACUGAUGGAGAACACGUUAGGUGCAUGGUAAUUGCUAAACAUACAACACAUAUAAAAUAAAAUAAUGGAGCAGUACCAUAGUAAGCUCUUUUCGGGCUUGCAGUAGCUCAUCGUUACUUUGACGCUCUUUGCUCACAAGAGUUCCGUUCAAAUCUUCCAGGUCGUCAUUCUUGUCUUCCAGCUCCCCAAUCCACUUCGUUAGCCUGUCAUUCUUUGCUUGCAGCUUCUCAUUACUCUCCGUCAGGCCCUCAUUCUUGACUUGCAGACCCUCAUUCCGCUUUGUUAGGCCAGCAUUCUCGGCAUGCAGUUCCCCAUUCCGCUUCCUCAUCCUAUCAUUAUUGGCUUGCACCUCCUCAUUCUGCUUCACCAAGUCGACAUCCUUGGCCUUCAGCUCCUCAUUCUGCUUUGUCAGGCUGCCAUUCUUUGCUAGCAGCUCCUCAUUCCACUUCGUUAGGCCGCCAUUCUUGAUUUGCAGCUCCAAAUUCUGCUUGCUAAUACCAUCUAUAUUGGAUCUCAGCUCCUCAUUCUCCUUCACCAGGACAUCAUUCUUGGCUUGCAGGUCCUUAUUCUGCUUCAUCAUGCCAUCAUUCUUGGCCUGCAGAUCCUCAUCCUGCUUUCUCAUUCCCUCAUUCUGCUUUCUCAAGCACUGCAUCUCUUUCGCCUUCUGAGCCAGCUCAACUCUCAGCUUCUGAUUCGCCUCACAGUAUCCAAGCUCUUUCACAUCCACAUCUAGUUGAGCCCUCAGGUCUUCGACCUCCAUUAAAAUCCUCUGAGAAUCCUCGCACGCUACCUUUGAAUGCUCUGCCCAUGGGUGAAAAAAAUUAAAACCAUGGUAUGAAGAAAAGAGUGAAAGAUUGAAGCAUGUUUUCAGUAACACAUACCUCCAUUGCCAACCAGACUCGUCAAAUCUUUGGACAUAACUGCUGCAUUCCUCUUCCUGCUUCCAGAUUCUGCCCCAAGAUUCUGACCUGCUGCCACCGAAAAACAAAGAACGCUUCAGCAAGUGUAAGCAAGAUAGCCUGCGACAGGUAAAGCAAUGCGAGUAUACAUCACAAAAUGUUCCUGCCAACCUGUGGAUAUUACACAUCACAGUUGAACACACAAAAAUAGUUAAAGGAACGAGGAAACGAGAUAACUGAACACAAUGAUUUUUUUCCCAAAAAUCUAAGCAAUAAGAUGUGUCGACAAAACUGAUGAUCCAAGUAAUUUAGAGUUGACAUAUGGUGGCAGCCUUCAGAAACUUUGCACUCUUGAUUGACUAAAUGUCAUAGUUGAUUUCACUUUACAUUUGCCUUAAUUCAAGUGCAGUUAUUCGUAAGAAACUGUUUCGCGUCAAUAUACCUAUGCCUACAAGUUCCCACGACUCAGAUAGUCAGAUUGAUGCGCUUGGGGACCAAAAGGCUUGUGCCUCCAAUCGAAAGAGUAUGCGACCCUCAUCCAAAGGUCGCAACUUUGUGGGGAAAUGAAACGAACGAUUAGUAACCUGGUAUCGAAAUGCAUCAUAGAUCAGACUUGGUAUCGAGAGGUAGUAGAUAAACUAAACUGCAGGGGAGUAGUACUAGCAGAUCCCUCAAGGCAGGCUCCCUCGUAAACCAAAAAGAAAAACAAAAAAAAGAAAAAAGAACAAGAAGAAAAUGCGAUGAGGUAAAAGAAAAGGCAAACCGUGGCUUCUCUUACCACCACCAGCAGCACUUCGAUCAACGCCACGGUUCAUGGGUGGCCCGCCGGAUUCUCCAGUCUCGUCCCCUCCGCCGGCGGGGGCCAUGGCUACGGCGGCGGAGGAAGAGUGCUACGGCGGCGGAGGAAGAGGGCACUGAUGAAGAGUGAGGGGGCUUUUAUUGUCUUUCUUGCCUCCUGUCCUCCCGCAACCACAAUAACACUCUUAAAAGGGAAAAAUAUAUAUAUUAUUAUUAUUAUUUCAGUUGCCUACUAUAGUUAUUGUGUCAUCAAUCUAAAACAACUUACUGAAUAUAUUUGUGAUCGUGGCCUCGUGGGAACAUUUUCUAGGAUAACCAAUUUAAAAUGGAUUAUUUACUCAUAUGAGUGCACUAAUUCAGCCAGUCAGUGGGAAAUGCUGUUUGCAUAGAUUUUUCUGAACAAAUGAAUGUAAGUAUCAUCAAACCAACACCAAGUACCUAAAUUACGGUACAAAUGCUGAAAAUAUGCAGCAUGAUUAACCGAUUACGCAUGAAAGGUCAGAUGAUAGCACACAAGAUAAAGGCCAAGCAGGCUAUCACUUGCACUACUGCAUAUGUACACCUGCACAAUAUACAGACACCUAAGUAGGGCACGAAAGCCACGGGUUGGUAUUAUUCAGUUCACCGAUCACAUCAGUUUUUAGGGCCUGAAGCGGCAACAGCACAACCACAUGCUUCCACACAUCACAUACGCUUGUAAUGUCGUUACGCAAUGGAACAUUAACACAGAGGAUACAUCUCCUAUGUCAGGAGGGGAUCGAGCAGCACAGGGCCCCCACAAUGGCACCAAUGGCGCGCAUGCACGACUACUUAUUGGCUUUGCAGUCAGGCGGCCUAGGGCACCUCAUCAGCCCCUCCUGCGCUUGGUUGUCGUCUCCAUCUGCCCGAAAAGGUACUUGAGCACCUCCUUCGUCGUCGCCUUCCGGCCUUUCCUGAAGUUCCACAGCUCGGGCACAACAUACCGACCACUGGGGUUGUAUUCAUUUAUCUCCAUCAGCGCGGUCUUCACCGCAUUGCACACGUCAUCACCAUACUCAAUCCACAGGAACUUCAGUUUUGCAUCAUCAUCAUCUAGAACUUCCUGCAAUGAACAAGGACGAGGACAACUAUUAGUUCCAAUACUAGCCUCUAUAAAGAUAACACAACAGUCAGAUAGAACACGGUAAAUACCUUAUCUUCUCCAUUAACCUGAACAACCUUAAAAGGAUGCCAGGAUGGCUUCUUCAGUUCCUCCUGCCAAUUUGUGAUCAACUCUGCUGCUUUGACCUGGUAAUCAUCGUUUCCAAAUUUCCUCCUACAUGCAUUUUGAAAUGGUUUUUCAUCAAGUUCUCCCAUUCUUUUUAUCCCAAUAGCUGCCCGCCCAUUUAGCUCAUCCUCCAAGCCCUGAUCAUUGUGAUAACCAUUUGAUCAGUGAGAAAAAACCUUAUGAGCAUCAACUGAUAGAGAACACAUCAGGUGCAUUUUAAUUGCUAAACAUAUAGUACAUAGAAAAAGAGCGGUACCAUAAUCAAUUCUUUCCGGGCUUGUUGUAGCUCGUCGUUACUUUCACGCUCUUUCCUCACAAGAUCUCCACUCAAAUCUUCCAGCCGUUUCUUCUCACGCUCUAAUCUUUCACUCAGCUUCUCCAUCUUCUCAUGAAUAUCACCAUCAUCAUCUCCCUCCAAAUGUUUCAUUACUUGGAGUGUACCAUUCAACCGUGCAACUUCGAGCUCAAGUUGCUGCUUCUCAUGCAGUUCCUUUUCCAGUUGGAGCAUCCUUGCGAAUACAUCUUCCUUUUCCCUCUGAUGUUAUUAAAAUGUAUUAAUUCUCAUCACCAGAACCUACAGUGACCAUCUAGAAAGCAACAUAUAAGUAAGAAAGGGGCAAACCUUCUGGUCAUCCAAUAGCUUCAGAACAUCGAAGUCAGCCCUCUGCUGCUCUAUACUGGCUAACUCAAGUUCACUAUUAUCAUCUUUCGCCUGCACAAUUUCAAAAGAAACUUUAAGUAAUUAUAUAAGAUAUUGCUGUAUGCAAUCAUGCUAUCAUACCAAUAUGCUCUAACUGUCAUCAUUAGUUUAUGAGCCUAGCAAGCUUUGGUGCAUGCACUUAGGAUGUAGAAAGAGAACCGGUAUUCUGUGAAUGUCAUAGAACUUAGAUGAUAAAAUACUUCAUAACAAUACAUCCCUUGUCAAAGUGAAAGUACUGAUGAUAUAUAAUUUUAAACAACCUGUACAAGUUUGAAAUGGAAAUAUAAAACAGCAACAGUAAAUCCUUGUUUUCAAAGUAAUCUCAAUCACUUAACCAAAAGAAUGGUUGCCACCCUGUUAGUCCAGAUUAGUGCACCAUAAGCAUGAUAUUUCAGCAGAGCUUACAUGAGCAUAGCCUAGUGCUUCAUUCGUAUAGUUGUUUUGCUUACCUUCUGCUUCUCAUCAUCGAGUGUCUUCCAGUCGUUAGCAUUCUCAGCUGACAGCUUUUCAAGUUGCUUAGCUCGUGAAUUCAGUUCUCUCCUCUUAUUUUCUAAUUCUUGCCUCAAGUUGUCAUUUUCUUGGAAAAUUCGCAGAGCAUUUUCACGAGCCCUGCGAUGAAGAUUUCGCAUUUCUGAAAAAGAGGAUACAAAAUUAUGGAUGAGUUAAUUUAUAAAAGAGAAAAAUUGCUUUGUUAAAUUUGUAAAGCAAAGAAAUUAAAGCUAAGUAAUCAAAGUUAACAAUUGGAGGAGGUUUGUUCAUACGUGUAAGCAUUGUUCAUCUCAUCAGGUAAUUCGUAGUUUUACAGAUAAAUAUAAUGUUAAAAAAGGAAUCGAGUAAUUUCAUGCAGAAUGGCAUUACUAUCAGAAAAACCCUGCAUUCAUCUAACCAACCCACAACAUCAUUUCUCUAUGUAACCCAUGUCCAAUAUAAGACUAUUACAAAACUAACUUCAGGACUUACAUGCAAAAUAUCUAAUAAUAUGCAAUGGUACAAGAUAGAAUUAACAUCUGAGAUCUGCUCUGUUACAAAUAAGUUUCUGUUUCACAGCCAUGACUAGAAAUGUCACCAUCUAAACCAUCAAGUAGAGCCGAAAGAAAGGAAGCAAAAUUGUACAGAUUACCUUCAUUGUACGCCUCGUGUAGCUUCCUGUUGUCCUCCUCAAGCCGUGAGAUCGAGAGUUCUGUUGCAUUCUUCUUUGUCUCCAAAUCCUGCAAGUAUCGGUUCUUUUCCUCUAUCUGAGAUGCCAGUCUUGCAACCAUCUCCCCUGACUUCUCUAACUCAGUUUUGGAGACCUCAUCUAUUGUUUUCAGGAUGGUACGCUUCCUCAAGAACCUUCCCACCACAGUCCCUCCAUUGUAAUCCCCCUCUCGGGCAACCCACCCAUAAACCUUUACCUCACCUUCGCCACCCUCCCCCUCUGCAGCACCUAGACCACUAUUCCUAGUCUCAAAUUCCUUCUUCCCCAGCUUAUUCACACUAAAAUGGUUCUCUAGCGUAAGCGCAUCAUUAAAUCCACUCCAAUCAUUGGUAAACCUCACGAUUGCAAAGGUUUCCAUGCCUUCUAUCUCAUCGAUAAACAAAGGCACAACCUCAACAAAACUAAACAUGGCUACUCUACCAGCAAACUCCUCAGCAUUGAACCCUGCACCGGCUGCAAGAACACAAGCCCAUGGCCAAGCAUACCUCUCAACCUCCCGUGGCGGCCCCACGUUCUCCGCCGGCGCAGAACUGGAUCCCGUAGGACCAACAUUGGCUUUCGCCUCCGCGGUGGCACUUCCACUGCCAUUGGCGUUAGCAGGGGCGGGCUUAAUGGCACCGAGGAUGCCAGUGAUACCGACAAGGUCUUCCGCGAAGGACGGAUCGGUGCGGACAAAGCGGGCGAAGGCGCGGUGAGACGCGCGCUCGCGGCCGUGGCGGCAGUGCUUGCUGGAGACGCCGAUGCCGUCGGCGUGCUGGAGGAGGUCCUUGAUCUUGUACCCCUGCUUCUUCUUGCCGGGGCAGAAGGGGCAGCGGAAGGUGCCGUCCGGGUUGCGCACCCGGUGCUUGCCGGAUGUGAGGAGGCGGAAGGAUUGCUCCUCGUAGUCGCUCUCCGCGUCCGAGUCGUCCUCGGAGUCGUCGUCGGAGUCCUCGGAUUUGGGGUCCGCUAAUCCGGCGGCCUCCGCGGCGGCCUCGGCCUCGGCCUCCUCGUAGGGGUCGAUGUAGUCGUCCAUGUCAAGAUCCAUCCCCGGAGCUCAGGGAUUCAACAGAGACGAUUCCUGAACGCAAAUACAGCGGUUAUUGAUCGAAAUUUUACAGGAACGACGCGAUUUUUCUCCCCAAAUGUUCUUCGAUCCAAACAUACUACGAAAGAGGAACCGAAAGGACUCACCUUCCCCCGAACUGGAGCACGAUCGCUCCAAAUGGCAGCGAAACUGGAUGAAAUUGGGGGGAGAAACCCCCGCCCUAUAUAAAGCCCGGGCGAAAUCGCGUUCUCACGCACCACGAUUGAACGCAACGACGCCGCCCUCGCUGGAUUUAUGGUGGCAUGGCGGAAAUCGGCGAGAAAGGCAACAGCUUUACUGGGCAAGGAUUAACACCUGCAUUCCAUUCCAGUCCUGGGGUUUUGGGGGCGGCGCACGGGAGAGAUGCCACUGGUACGGGGUGGGACGAUGAUAUGUGGGGUCCAUUUCAGCCCGUCGACGGUGGCCGGGACCACGUGUCAGGGACUCUGACACUUUGACUCCUUUGGGAAGCGUUACGUGGGCCCGAGUUCAUCCGGCUCAUUAACUUUAGGUCAUCUCAAGAUGUUUUUCCUUUUUUUUCUCGUUUCACUGUUGAAAUCCCACCCACCUCCAUCUAAAGGAAAUAUUGAAAUUUCUAGGAAAAUAGUUAAUUUGGUUAAUGCAUUAAUGAUGGAAUAAAAAGUUUCCCCUUUUUUCAUAGAGCGUAUAAUUCGUUGACAGAAGAGUUUGAUACUAAGAUUUGGAGAAAAUUUACAGCAGAGGUACAGCAAAAGAUUUCAUUUGAUCUUCCCAUUUAACAUAUGGUUAAAAGGCAACGCAUGUAGAUUUUCUCCCUUCUCUAGUUGGAUGGAAUUCACGCUUAUAGCGUAAAGAGUAAUAGUUAAAUAGGCUUGUAAACAAACUAGGUGUCAUUUGGUAAAUUUAAUAAAAAAAACAGCACACUGCACAUACCCUACUGGCACGAGUAAAUAAUCUUUCUGUAUAUAUGCAUGACACAGGUAAUAAGUAAAUAAGCUUGUAUACAAAGAUAGUAAUAGUUAAACAAGAUUCUAUAGGAACCAACUGUCAUGUCUAUAUUAUACUAUUAUUAUUUUGUACAUGACAAAAGGUAAUAAUUAAAUAAGACUGUCUAUAAACCAACUGUCAAUUCCUAAGUAUAUAUGCUACUAUUACUCGGUACAUGAAAAAGAGUAAUAACUAAAUACAAUUGUAUCAAACCAACUGUCAUAUCUCUGUAUGAUACAAGGUAAAUCAAAUACAAACCAAUUAUUAAUUCAUACAUAUUAUUAUUACUCUGGACAACAUAAAAGGCAAUAUUAAAUAAAAUUGUUUACUACACAACUGUCAUUUCAAAAUAUUGCUAUUAUUCUUUACAAGAUAAAAAGGUAACGGUUAAUUCAGCUUAAUGCAUACCAAUCGUAAUUUCUUCAGUAAAUUCAAAUUAAAAUCAGCACAAACAUAUAAAUAAUCCAUGUUUUAAGUGCAUAGGUUGGUGCUUGAAUCUAGAUCGAUGAAAAGAAAUGAUCUUAACAAUUUUGCAAGCAAAAUUAAAAAUAGAAAGAAAUUCAGUGGUUUUUCUUACUCUUAUAUCCUUUCCCACAAGUUGGUUCAUCUUGAACGGUUGUUGCGGCAUCUUCCACUCCAUGAUCCUUCAAUGAGAUUAUCAUUAUGGCACCCAUGAACUAGACUCGAGUCAACAAUGUCUCAAGGAUUAGAGAGAACCUUGGGGAUUCCAUGGACGUUGGGGUGGCAACUGUGGUGGAGCAGUGACACAAGGAAUGGUUAGCUACAGAUCUAUCUAGCAUGUCUUAUCGACUUAUCGUCGAAGAGCGGUGCAGGGCAGUAUGCUGGUUCGUCAUAGAUAGCAAAGGUCCAUUGUCGCAAUAAGUAAGGCAAAAGGAAGAGGGAGAGGUGUGCGGCCAUGUCAGGUUGAGGACAAUAGGCAUGGCGAUGAUUAAAAAAAAGGGGGUGGCAGUAUGUGGAAUGCUACAAGAGGAGGGUGCUCUAUCCGCCAGAGAAGCAUGGUUGGUUCUACGCAAAUGAUAGGAAGGGGCGGCGGUGUGUGGGAGCAUUGUAGUGGCCCGACCAAGAUGAAGGAGAAAGCGCGGUCUGCAGUCAUGUUGGGGUUGAGGACGAUAGGCAUGGCGAUGAUAAAAAGGAGCGGCGGGCGGCGGCGCAUGGGACGGUACAAGAGGAGCGUACUCGAGCUCUUAGGGUUUUGAUUGUUGCAAUAUCUACAACAGUCGGGGCAUAAAUCAAGGGUCAAGAUCCUUGAUUUAGAUAUAGAAAGAAUGAAAAUACCCUCAACCGACAUCCGACGCUACAGAACCAUCGAACGGUUCACAUUGCUGCCAUUUUGCACUGCAACAUAUGGCCCCGUAACACAUGAGAAGAAUGGGUAUUGAGUCGGAUGGUUGGGAAAUACUCAAGGAUUGAAAUGUGGGAGCAAGAUUGUCAAGAGAAAUUACAAAUCACCAAUUUUCGAAUUUCUUAUCGAGUCAAAAUUGUUAGUUCGUUCGGACGGCGUUCGGACGGUUCUCGGGUACAUGUAGUAGAACAGAGGAUUUAUCCCAAUUCCCAUGGUACAUUAUCAAAUUUUGCAGAUCAGAACCGGAAAAGGAGUCAGUUGUCUGCUCGAGUCAUCUUCCUUAGGCAAAAGAGAGUACAACAUUUUUGUGAUUGGUUUUACGAAGAGAGGCUUUAUGGCAUGCCGGAUCCUUGCUCUCUUGGUCUUUUUUUUCUUGCACCAGGCUUACUCUACCUUAGUCCCUGGGCUAAACUUUAAGCCAUGCUAAAGUUUAGCCCCCUUAAAUGGAGGGUUAAAGUUUAGCCCCCUUGGGCUGUUUGAAAAUUAGGCUAAACUUUAGCACCUAGGUUUACAAAAGACUCAUUUACCCCCACUUCCUUCCUUCCUCCUAUCUCUUCUUCUCUCUCUUCCCCUUCUCUCGCUCUUCUCCCCACCUCCCCCAGCCGCGCCAGCCUCCUCGCACGCCGGCGGCCCUGCGCCCACCCGGCCUCCGCGCCCCUAGCUGCCCUCCCUCCCCCGCUGGGAGCCAGUGGCCACGCGGCCAAGCUCCCCUCCCUCCCUGCAUCGGCAGCCGGUGGCUGUGCCCGCGUGCCCAAGCUCACGUUACUCCCCGCGCCGGGAGCUGGCGGCCGCGUCCCAGCCUCCUUCCUCCCUGCGUCGCGCUCGACUCCCCGCACACCAGAAGGUCGCUUCACUCCACUCCACCCCGCCUCCCCUCUGCAUGCUCCGAUGGUGGCUCGAGGUCCGACGAAAGCCUAAGGCAGAGCCCCGCGCGGCACAACCGAGCUGCGGUGGGCGAGCAAUGGCAGAGCCCCAUGCAGCAGCACGAGCUCCGACGAGCGCCGGACCUCUCGCUAAGCCGGUAGCCGCGAGCUCUUCCGCGUGCCACGGCGCUAGGCCGGAGGCCAUGAGCACGCAGCCGGCCGCCCCGGAUCCAGCGUCAGGGGCGCCGCCAAAGAACUCGGCCGAGGCGGAGGCGGAGGCGGAGGCAAGAGGAGGGCGGCGGGGGCGAGGUUGGGCGGCAGAGGCGGCGGGGCCGGCCGGAGGCGGCUUGGCCGGCGAGGUGGAGGCGAGUGCAGUGCGGAGGAGAGAGAGGGGGGUGCGGGAGGGCAACCAGGGAAAGAUGGUCCUUGGAACCACUUUUAACACCCAUUAGCCCAUUUUAGCACCCCUUAAGGGGCUAAAGGAAAAGGGGGGCUAAAGUUUAGCACCCCUCCUUUAGCCUAAAAUGGGGCUAAAAGAGGCGGGCUAAACUUUAGGCCCCCCCUCCAAACAGGGCUUAACUCAACUUUGAGAAUGCCAGACAUAAAUUUUACCUAUUUUAGUUUAGGGCACUAGUUUUGAGGUCCGAUAAACCGUUUCGAGCACUAUAGAGUCCUGCCACCUCUUCACACUAUACCUCCAUACGACCCCUACACACUCCAGAGCUCAUUACCCGUGGCUAGCCUCUUCAUGGCGUGCUCCACUUUAAUAACUCCCUCCCAAACGAGUGGCUUGCCGUCUCCCUCAUCUUUGUGCUAACACAUGACUUCCUGAUAUGCACCCUGUGCUUGGGUCGUGACAUGGAGUUCAUCCUUAUCUAGGUGGGCUUCGCACUCCUGCAUUAGCUCGACCCAGUAUAUGCCCACAACCACAUCUUCAUCUUUCACGACGAGCUCCACGUCCUACCACCCUUCCUCUUUCCUAAGAUGUUGUUCGUAAAGGUCAUGCUUACCAACAUCUAUGACACCUGCAGCCCCGACACCAUCCAUGCUAUUACAAAGCUACACCGACGGGCUGUCCAAGUGGGAGGAAGAGAACCUCCACACGGUGCGCUUCGCACAAGGUGUUUUGAAAUGUUGGACUUUACAUGUUUUAAUGCCGCGGCAGUGAUUUGAGACUUUGUUUUAGCAGUUGGUUUUGCAUGUUAGUUUUAGGAACUUUUGAUGUCGCAGUAGAUAUAUUUUUGUUGCUGCAAAAGGUGAUUUGAGGCGCAUGGAAUUUUACAUGUUUCGAUGUUGUAAGGAUGAUUUGAGUCUUUCAAGUUGGCUUUGGGUGUUGAUUUUAGCAAAUUUUCAAUAUUGCAGAAGAUAAUUGUGAAGGUUUUUACUGCAAUAUGUGUCUUUAGAAGUUGGGUCUUACACCCUCCGUCCCAAAUUACUAUUCGUUUUGACUUUUCUAAAUAUGUAACCUUUAAGAUUAUAUCUACGUACAUAAUAAAAGUUAUGUACGUAGAAAAGUUAAAACGAAUAGUAAUUUGGGACAGAAGGAGUACGUGUUUUGGUUUGCAACGGAGAGUAUUUUAGCAGUUGAUUUUGGGGGUACAUGUUGGCCUCGUAAUGAUUUGAUAUUGCAAUAUACGUAGGAACAAAUAUUUGCGGGAGCAGCUCGCAACCGGAGCAGCAAUACGCUCCACUGCCGUUGGGCAGCUCGCCGUUGGGUAGCUCAUGGACCUCACUCGGACGCUGGAAGGUUUUCUUCUGCUUUUGCUUUUGGAUCGCGACGGGAGUAGGGUGCAGACGUUUUUUUAUUUAUUUAAUGGUUAAAUCGGUGCGUCAGACGUUCAGGAGCUAGCGAGACCAUAAAAAAAUCUAAAGAUAUUUCAUACUGAAAUGAAAAUAUUUUAUUAAUAAGGUACUAUUGUGUUCCUUUUUAUUGAUUUUUUCCCUGUACGGGACCAAACUCUUUUUUUUUUCCGAAACUCUACGGGACCAAACUCCAACGGCUCAACCCCAACAAUUUACAUUGUGCCACACGGUAGUAGUUCACGGCUUGACAACACUGUCACCUUUCACUGACCAGAUGCUGGUGCAAAUCACACCUCGACCAGAGAACACGGCAAAAAAUUAGCACGCAGCGGCUUCGAGCCUUCGAGCGAUCGACCGAGACGACCAAUGCACGGACGCUCGCUCACCAGACGGGCAGCAGGUAGCAGAACUCGGCGUCGUACGGCUCGACCUCCACCAUCUUGGCCGCCGGCGCCGGAGUCCCCACCGUGCCCCUGCCGCCGCCGCUAGCGCCCAGGACCUCCCUGAUGGCCCGCCGGAGCGGGCCCGACGCCCGGGGCAGCUGGCUGUGCACCCACUCCAGCAGGGACGCGUCGUCGUCGGCGAAGUCCCGCAUGUGCCAGUGCAGCAGCUUGGGCACCACGACGGCGCGCUGCCUCCGGCCGCCGGCGACGCGCACCGCCGCCUCCAGGUACUCCACCUUGGCGCGCUCCAGCUCGUUCGACACGUCCUCCGCCGUGUACACGCGCAGCUGCAGCGGCCGCGCACGUGAGGUCAGUGUCAGUCUGUGGAGCAGAGAAAAAAAAAUGCCAGUAUGUAGGAGGAGCUCUGGCAGUGACUGAUCGGCAUACGCACCGCCGGCGAGGAGCGGCUGCCUCUGCACAGCGCGAAGACGACGUUGGGUUCAGGGUACCCGAGGCCGUACAAGUGCAGAAGAUCCCUCUGUCCUUCGUCCAUGAUCCCCUUAUCAUCAUCAUCAGAAUAUCAGAUAACCUUGUUGUUAAGAAUUUAAUGAAGGGAAAUGAUGUAGUAGCAUCCUAUUCCUGCAAGAAAGUUUAUGGUUGGAUGGUGUAAACCUAAUCUUGCAUACCUGCUUGCCUUCGGGAGAGUGCCUCAGGAUGAGGUGCUCGAUCGACAGGACAUUCAGCACUGUUCCUCCGACGUUCACUGAAGCCUGAAUGCCAGUUUCUGUUAGCAAUGUGCGUAAAGAUGACGGAAUUCGAUCUGAAUCAUCAAAUUUUUUGUCAGCAAUGUGGAAAGAAACGCUACACCUGAUUCAGCAGCGCAACAAGCUUUUCCGGGGAUGGAGGUAAACCGUGCUGAAGAAACGCCUGAAAUCAUGCCGGAAUAACCUGUCCUGAAUCAGCAUUGUUGCUUUCGAGCAAUUGUUCUAUGCCUGGAGAUGCAAUUAAAGGGCAGCUUACAGUACAUGCAUCACGCAGAAGUUGUAGAUGUUGAUCCAGAACGCCAGCUUCUGCUUGUUCGUCAGAAGGCUCGGAUCGGCGGUGCAAAGCUUUUGCAUCAAUCCCCUGUAAGAGAACGCACACGCAAAACAAACGCUAUCAUUCAGACCUGAAGCUUCCCCUGACCGUUGAACAACAACACGCCCAAACGGGAAGCCUCACCUCAGGUUCUUGAUGUCGACGAGGCACAGCGAUAUGCGGCUGACGUCGACGGACGCCCUCGUGAACUCGACGAACCUCCUGUGGCACCCGGCACCGGCAGCGGCAGUCUCCUUAUCCGCGCCAUGUCCGGCCUUCGCCGUCGCCGACGCCCUCCGGUUCUUGAGCGGGCUCAUCGCGGCGGCGGCGCCGGUCACGGCGACCCUGGGGACGAGGCUCCGAGGCCCGAUGCAGGAGAUGUUGAGCUUCGACGCGCCGCCCAGCUCCAGCUCCCCCGCGUCCCCCGCCUUGUUCAGCUUUUGGAAGAUGGUCACCAUCAGCCUGAUCAGCUCCUCCGACAGCUUGUUCGGGCUGCUCAGGCAGACCUUCCUCUCCGGAGGCGUCGGCGUCGUCUCCGACGGCUUGCAGUGGCUGCUUCUCCUUGCAGUGACAUGCUCCAUUUCAUCUCCUAAUUAAAAUAUCAUGAUGAUCAAGCAGCAACAAAAAAAGAACAUAUGAACUCUGAACUCGCACGUGUUUUUGCUGAACAUUUCAUACCUUUGGCGGAGGCGGAUCCAACAGAAGCCUUGCUCUCGCAUUCGAGAGCUUCGUCGCUGCUUGGGCAGGGCAGCUUCGGCAGCUGCUGGGCACCCUGGAGCUGGAGCUCUCUCCUGGACACGGAGUGCCGGGGCUGGCGGCUCUGCGGCCAGCUCUGCUGCUGCUGCUGCUGGAUGCACUGGUCCGUCCACCUCUGCUCCCGGCGCAGGCGCAGCCGCAGGUCCUCGACCUUCUUCUCCAGGUAGAAUAUCUCGUCCUCCACCAUCGCCAGCUCCCCAAGCAGGCCCCUAACCUACAUACACCAGUGCGAACAAAGCAAGUGAAAAAUUCAUGUCAGUCAGCGAACACGUUCAGCAGACAGGCAUUUUGGUCAGGUUCCAGGCUUCCAGCCAUUGGCAUGAUGAGCACACAGAAGCACAGAGUUACCGACAGAAGAAGAAUUUUACAGCUGAUGCUGACAUGGUUAAAUACUUCGUGAGAUCGAUCGUACUGAUACCAUGCCAUGGAAGGCACUGAUCAUUGGUCAGCUAAUGGAGGUACAAUAAUGCAGGAUCCAAGGAAACCAGCAGAUCUGGUAGAUAAGAGGUAGGAGGCAGCGAUUGUCCGCAGGCGACUCGAAACGGCGACGCUCCAGAUCGGACACAGUACUUCCGCGUCCUUCGUUCAGAGGUCAGAGCCAGGUGACAUCGGAUGAGACAGGAACGGAGGCAGGAAUCCAAAGGACAUACUGUACCCGCACCUGGCGUUGCUCUCACACCCGGGGUACGGGGACCCUGAUGAGAUCUUGGGCCCGUGGAAUGGAGAUCAGGAAAAUGGCCGUGCUCUCUGUUACUGUUACUACUACUGCGUGCGUGAUGUUACCGUAGGUGAUCUUAUUGGGUGCAGGAUUUGCAGACAUCUGUACGAGGGUGACAGCGUCACGUGUGUGAUCUUUCAGUUCAGAUGCUGCGGUGAAGUGAAAUGCAUGCUAUGAUGGCAAUUCCUCUGCUGCUGCGGCUGCAGUGAUGGUACGCUGGCAAUCAUGCUUGUUCGUCGUCGUCCAGACUUCAGACUGAACAGCUUCAACUUUUUAAGCACAGCUCCAGACAUAUGCAAAGUGUGCCCUAUUGUAGUAUUGCUACAUAAUCUGAACUAUCAAGUGUAUCCUAUUGUAGUAUCGUUUACAGAUAAUGUAAGCUACCAACGGUAAUAAGGUAACAUGAAAGAAGAACAUAUCGGAAGCUGCAAGGCAGAAUUUGCUCGAAUGGUACUCGUGCGGACAUCAGUUCAAUCUACGGAUGGGGGAUGGCAAUAAUCCAUGAGCUUACACUGAGUGUCAGAUACUUAGACUGACGGAACUGAACAUUUAGCAGCCCAUCAAACAGAGAUGAUCGGACGAUCGGAAGGUGAGCAGAGAGGUACUCACAUUGGUGGGAACGAGUGUGGAGAGGCAGCAAUGGCAGACGACGCGCCCCUGCAGCGAGCACUGGAGGACCCUGCCCAGCCGCUGCUCCUUCUCCAGCACCGUCUCCAGCUCCGACACCUGCACACAGCAAAGGCCCACAGCGUUCAUCAGCUCUGAAACGUCGAGCGGCGGCGCUCGCCGAUCAUCCAUCGCGCGUGCACGCGCAUGUCAGUGUCAGUGCUCUGCAGCAGCCGGCCUGACCGACCUCGAACUCGAGCUCGAGGCGCUUCUCGCGCUGCUCCUCCCGGUCCAUGAGGAAGUACAUGAGCUUCAUCUUGCACCGGCGCACCCGCGGCCUUCUUAAACCCGCGGCGCCCGCGCCCGGCCUCCCCCGCCGCCGGUGCUGGAGCGAGGUGGGGUAACUCCUGGCGCCGCCGGCGGCGGCGGUGGGGCGUAAUGGCGUCGGCGAGCUCAUUUAUGCGUCUCCCCGUCAAGAAAAAGGAGGAGGCUGGUGGGAUGGAGGCGCGCGCGGUAGGCAACGGUGGCGGUGAAGCCGGGGGGACGCGUCGGCGUCGGCGUCGCGCGCGUCACGCUUCCCGUGCGGGCAACGGAAAUCUCUGGCCCAUGCGACGCAUGACCGGCUUAAAUUCACCAGCGGUUGACGCCAACGCUCGCUCGGGGAGGAGUUUGCUUGCUUACCGAGGGGCUGAGAAUUUAUGCCCGUGACGGGAUCUGUUACCGAGGAGACUUUGAUGAGGGGUCUCUCCUCUCCUCUCACAUUUUCUCUCUCGAUUUGUUAGGCCAGUCACAGCACAAUUUCAUUGCACAUUUACCUGAACUACGUAACUGUGCUAUAUAAAUUUUACUAGAACUCCUUCCUCGUUUGAUGAAACUUCCUCUAUUAAUUAUCUUACCAAGUCAGCAAUUUUGCUGAUGUGAUAUUAAAUUUAAUGCCAUAAAACUUCCCAUCGAGACUGGUCUUACUGUACCAAUAUUUUACUGUACCAAUAUUUUAGGCAAAAUUUGAACCUUGAAUAAUAUGGUUUGGUUUCCUAUUUCAUUCGUUAAAAACAUGAUAAUUCUGAAGUGACCGGCACUCUUUCUUUCUUUUUUUUUAACCCAACAAUUCCCAGGGUCAGUUUCCUUUUCAGAUUGUUGAAUUGUAUUGUGGAAAAGAUUGCAAAACAUAGUAUAGGUUCAAAAAUUCAAAAAAGCUAGCACUUCCCCCGUCAAAUGUAAGGCUUCAUGCAUCAUCACCCUAAUCUGAUCCUGCCAAUCAGCUCAAGGUACAGAUACUCUUUCAUUUCUCCGAAAGUGCAUUGGCUAGGGCAGCAUCGCUAAUCCCCUUAGAUGUGCCUACAAAAUGUUUUGUUUGAUCGGCCAAUAAUGAACGCAUCAUUCCAUCAUGGUACAAUUCUGACGCUGCGUCCCAAUCAUCGCAGGCGUGGAAAAGAAUCCUAGUCCUAGGACAGUGUAGGGUUUCAUACCAAUACUGUUAUGUCAUCAAUGAAAUCAAAUUAUCACUUUCAGAACACAGUUUCAUAGAUAACCUGCGAGCGAUGAAACUAUAACAUUCUAGUUUCAUAAGGAUAAAACUCCCCUUUCAUCUCUCCUCAUAAUUAGAUUGCCAAGUCAGCAAAACGGCUGAUAUAACAGAUUUGGACGGUUUCAUGAGGAUAAAACUCCCCUUUCAUCUCUCAUUGCCAUCUCUCCUCAUAAUUAGAUUGACAAAUUGCCAAGUCAGCAAAAUUGCUGAUAUAACAGAUUUAAUGCCCAUGAAACCUAGAAUUUAAUACCAUAAAACCCCACUGAAACUAACCUUUAAGGCUGGUGAAACGAUGAGCGUGGCCUUAGUGAAACGAUGAGCGUGCCAUACAACUGCUUUGCUGCCUCCGUGCAAAGAUUAGCUGACCCGUUGCAUUCACAGGCCCGGCUAAUCCGCCCUCAUUAAACACAAAAGACACAGAUAAUGCAAAGUUCCAAACGGAGUCACUACUAACGUGGCCAGAGCAUUUGGCUGGAUAGCCGGCAUCCACCCAACAACAUUAGGAUAAUGCAAUCAAAACAAGCCUAACGAUUCAGCAACCUAAAGGUCCAUGUAGAAAAACAGCAUCGAAUCUGGUGUAAUGUGACUCACCACAAAAGGGGGCUAACAAAAAAAAACCAUUAUUGAUAUGUCCAGAGGUAGUAAACAUUAUUAGCAAGCUCAAGCUGUGGCCUCAGAAAAAGCUACAUAGCACAGAAAACAAUUCUGUUCCUGUUCAGCGGAUCUCCGCGUCAGGGGUGGAAGGGUCGGGGACACAUCUUAGGCGGACUUCACGGUGGCCGAGUUGAUGAUGUCGAUGAACUCAGGCUGCAGACAAGAUAGGGGAUAAGAAACAGUCAGUAACAGAGGAUGUUGAUAAGGCCAGACACCAUCAUUUUGUUGCAGUCUUUGGUUUACAAAUUAACAGGACAUCAGCUGUCUUCCAGGAUUUUUCGUUACCUUCAAAGAAGCACCACCGACGAGGAAACCGUCAACAUCGGGCUUUGCUGCCAGCUCUUUGCAGUUUGCAGCAGUCACAGAGCCUGUAGGAAGAAGAGCACAAAUAAUCAUGUACCAAAAAGAUUUAGCAGCUGGUGCACAUUUGUAAGGCAACUGCUCGAGAAGUGUAUACCUCCGUAGAUGAUCCUGGUAGAUUCGGACACCUCAGGGCUGACGUUGAUCUUUAGCCAAUCUCUCAGGGAUGCGUGCACCUGCAAAGAUAAUGCAAAUCUGAGUGUUUGUGCGACGUUGUAGUAGAUGAAGAUAUUUAUAAUUGCAAGAGCAUAGCCCAAUGUUGAAAAAUGUAUGAACCAGUAGAGAGUUGUGAGAGUUAAGAGAGACUUACUUCCUGAGCCUGAUCAGGGGUGGCAACUUUACCAGUUCCAAUGGCCCAGACUGGCUCGUAGGCAACAACCACGUUGCUCCAGUCCUUGAUCUUCUCUGUAAAACAAACAAGCAUUACAUCCUUUCAGCCUGAAUUUCCACAUGGCACCAAUAUUUUUAACUUGGCAAAUUGAAGAUAAGGCACAAAGUUAACAUGAAAUAAACAAUCCAGGCAAAAAUAAACACGUAAUCCUUCCAAUCAACAGGGGGGCACAGGAACCAAUUUCUGAACUACAGCUGCUAGAGAAAAACAGUAAUGCCUGAACUAGAAGAGUACAUUUUCUAACCAAACUGAACGCCGGGAUCUAAUUAGCGUAAAACAAGAUUAGAAACGAAGUGUUUAUCAUAAGAUGUAUGGCUACCUUUUUUAUAAUUUUGAAGUUCUAUAUGCCUGGGAGAUAGACAUAAAAGUAUUUGGAUAUAAUCAAUCAACAAUCCACAUGAAAAACACUAACAGUGAAUACAUAAAAAAGAGAGUAUGCACAAUCACAGGACUGAAUGUAAAUGUGAAGUACCAGCAAUUGCUUUUGUUUGUGCAGCAACAACAUCCAUGGUCGAUCCAGCUUCCCUCUGCUCAAGGGUCUCACCAACACAUGCAAUGACCUUUAGUCCCUGAGAGAGUGCAUAGGCGACUUUGUCUCCAACAAACUGGCAUCCAAGCAGAAGAUUGAACCAUUAGAUGUGAACAUUCUUAGAACAGGUGCAUCAAUAAUCAAAUAUAUCGCAGAUUCAUGUCUAAGGGAAGGAUUAAAGAAGAAUAACUGAACAAGUCUCAGCUCAGUAACUGUAACAUAGUCCGAUUGGCAAUAUGCAUAACAGCACAACCACAAUGCAAAUGACACGAAAGACAUGCUGAAUUUGAACUGGAGCAUACCUCAUUUGAUUCUCCCAACAGAGCUCUCCUUUCAGAGUGUCCAAGAAUGACCCAGGGAACGCCAAGGUUGACGAGCAUCUCAGCACUGCAUCAAUAAUGGCUUGCUUAUCAACCAACACAAAAAUUGAAUGAGGAAUGCACCGAAGCGCAAUGUACAAACAGCUUAAUAAGGUUAUAUAUGCAAACUGCUUAACAUGGCAUCAGCAGUAUGAAAAUAACUAAAAUUGAGUGAAAGCCUGAAAGGUGAAUUCAAAAGACUCCAUGCAUUAAUGGUCAAAGGAACAUGAGCCUUGUGCUUGUGUAAACGCUGCAUGAAUUUGCAUUUCAGAUUCAACAUUAAUCCUUCCUCACAAGGGCUAUACAACAUAUGGGGUGGACAGCCAGGAGAGAAUUAGAGACUAACCUGACUUCACCAGUGAAAGCACCUCCCUUCUUCACCCAGCAGUUCUGAGCAGCAACUUGGAACUCUGGGCGGAGCUGACUCUUGACCACAGGAAGGAACACAUAAGGAGGGCUGACAACAACCUCUGCAAUGCAACAAUUCCAAAUAGCUAAGUACAUCAUACAAGUAAAAUUUCUCAGAAGUACCACAAAUCUGCGAUGUUCAAGGUCACCCCUAAAAGGGAAGAGUCCAUACCAACAACAUCUGGAGGGGGAACCUGCCCUUCAUUCAGAGUUUUGACAAUCUUGUCAACCUGAUCGGCGGUUCCAUUCUGCAAGCAUGAAGAUCGACCAUGUCAAUAAUCAGUUAACAAGCAAUUCACUAGAUAUGCAUGUCAUUUGUAUGAGAAAUUUGGCAAAGCAACAGGCUCUUUCACUACCAACCGAUUUGCAAAAGAAGCUCCAAUCUAAGCUCAAAUUUACCGAGUUUCAUCACAAGAAAAUCCAUAAUUUACGAGCUCCAUCACAAAAACAAUAAAGGUUCAAGUCGCUAUAUCUAUAACAAGCAUUGCACGAUCUUAUAACGAUACAGUGAGGAAUAGUAUGUAAAUUGGGGGCUGAUCUGCGUGGCAGAUGAAUAUGGAUCUCCAGAAGUUGGCAGAUCGAACUUCUAACCGCUCCUGGAAACAUGCAUCACACAAGGUUUUAACGGUUUGUUCUGAGCACGAAGCACAGGCGGGUUGCAAGAAUCACGCAGGCACUUUUCAGCUAGGUCCAAACAUACAAAGACCAUCAACAUCACGUUGUCUGAUUCCGUACGAGAAUGACUAAAUCAGUUGUAUUCCUGGCCGGAUCUUAAGAGAUAGCACCUGGAGCAACACAUCCAGUCUUCCCAAACAAGACAGAACAAAAAAAAAUAUCCAUACGUCGAUCUAAAUCGAGAUGGGUAGAAUUCACUAGCAAUUUCCGCCCUCGAAUCCCCCAAAAUCACUAGCUCAACCGCAAACAGAACGCGAAAAGGGAUCAGAAAAGAAAUCCAAAAGCUUCCCACCCGAUCCACGACGAGAAAAACAGGCAGGUAGGAGGGGAAGAGCGAUUACGCAUUUCCAGUUGCCACCGACGAAGAACUUGCGGCCCAUCUCGACGAGGUGUUGGGUUCGGAAGGAAGAGGAUGGCUGGAUGGGGACUUGGGGAGCUUCUAGGUUGGAUUUUGCUUCUUGUGGAGGAAGACCGGAAGAGACAGGAUGGAUGGAUAAUAUAAGGCGGGGCGAGGUGUGUGGCCUCUGAUGUGAUCACAUGAGGCCGGCCGGCCAGGACUCACGAUGACAUGUGGACCCCGCAGCCACCAUCGAGUUUUUCUAGAGCUUUUUCCCCCUAAAAAAAUGUCUUGGUAUCUUUAGGCAAAAGCUAAAUUGUUACGUGUACCAAGGAAGCUUACUCGAAUCUUUGCUUAUGGAUGGCUCGUAUGAUUGCCUCAAGCUCCAAGCUGAUGUUACAAUAUCUCUAAAAAUAGCUGGAAGUAUCCUAAUUCGCCACCAUCUUUUUUAUAUAAGGCAAACAUAUCAAAAGUUCUCCAAGUUCCUAUGCAGCUUGGAAUAAAUUAAACCAAACUAUAGUUUAGCACAUUGUUAAAGCUUGUAAGAGGUUAGUAUAAAGUAGAAACGUUUUAUUUCAAAAAAAAGAAAGUAAAAAAACGUCAUGUUCGUAUGCUCAUCUGCUGCGCGCAUAAACGAAUUCUGGCGGUGGCCUUAGCUAGGUUGGCCACAGGGGACGCGGCUGCAGACGAUCCCACGGUUGCGGGUGGUAUUGUGGGCACCUGGCACAGCAGCGCGGAACAAGGGGCGGCGAAGCAGCGGCGGAUGCGGAUGGCAUGGCAUCGCGCUCGUGCGUGCGUCAUACGUGGCUGCUGCUGAAUCGAUGCGCAUCUCCGCCUCGGUGAUUCCGCUUUCCGGCUUUUGCCCGUGCUGCCUCCUCCUCCUCCUCCUCCUUUUGGUUCCUCGCCUUCAAUAUAGGCCCACUCGCUCCGGAACGGGCCACAGGUCGGCAGGUCCCAUCUCAGCAGAUUCGGCCCGUUUUAGAGACCCAGCAAAAUGAUUCGUUAAUAUUAAGUAUGAUUGAUGAAGUACGGAGUAAGUUUCUAUUUUAAUCGAGAAAGUUGCCCGGCAAAAUUUGUAAAAUUCUCACGGUGAAGGUGCGAGAUUUAUAAAUCACACCCCUCCUAAGACUACAAGAUGGACGAUUUGACAUAGAAUUCGGUUCAACGCGGUACAAAUUUCUACGGCACAUGGGCCUACACCAUCUUGCUGCUAUAUAUCACAUCGAUUUCUUUAUAAUAUUUUUUUAUCUCACUUCAAACUUAUAUAAAAAAGAUUAUAGCAUCAUUGACUUUUUAAACAAACUUUGAACAACAAUAUUUAUUUAAUGAAUUAGUUUAAUAAAGCAAAGUAAGUACCACAAUGCCUAUUAUAAAAAAAAUGUAGAUUUAACUUAUAAAUUCAUCUAUUUGCAUAACUAUUUGUAGAAAAGAUUAAUAGUCAAAUAAAUAAAAAAAAUUAAUGGUGUGCUAUGAAACUAUGCAUUGAGAUUGGUCAAACUAAUAAUGAAUGAUUAACAUCUUUGCUACGCAAUGGUCAACUGGUUGAUAGGAAAAUAAAGAGAGGGGCUGCGUGCUUUAAAACUUGUAGAAGAAAUAGCAGGAGUGAGCACAACAACUCAUCGCUGACCACCAACUCUCUUUGCCAUUGGCGCCUUCGCCUUUCUUUCCAGGUAGCGUUCGUUAUGAUGAUGGUUACAUCCGCACUCGCUACCAUGAUUUAGGCAUCUCUUAGCUUUGUCGACGUUUCCUUCUAGAACUCAAUGGCAAUUGGUCUUAAAAACUGAUGAUAUGAUAGGACGUGUGCCUCGCCGUCCUACCGUAACCACGAAAUUUUAAAGACGACUGGACGCGGGUGAGCAAUCCUCUUGUCAUUGUUUUGUUGUCCGCAGGAAAGGAGUUAGUAGCAGCUAGCUUUUCGUCAAGGUUGGCAAGACCGGCUGCGUAGCUCCGUCCUUAAUUAGUUACCACGUGAAUAGCAUGUUUUUAUAUAUGCUUUAUUAAUUGGUAGCUCCAUCAAUAACUACCGGUAUUUCAUCACUUCCAAGAUUCAAUGGGUUUUGCUUACCGCUUUUUUUUCCAUUAAACCAUCCUGUCAACACUAGUUAUGCAAUGUAAUUCGCAUGGUUGCAGUAGGGUCUGUUUGGAUGUGUUAUUGCUAAAGUUUAGUAUUUUCAUCCAUUAGUACUCCCGUUCGAAGACAUGGCUAAUGGAUGGAGCUAAAGUUCAUGAAAAGUCACUUUUGCCCUUUUAUCUACUCACCUCCUCCCUUUCUCUCUCCCUUUUUGUUUUUUCACAAGCUAUUAACACCCAUUAGCUUCUCCCCACCCGUUAAUGCUUUUGCAAUUUUUUGAAGAUGGGCUAAAGUUUGGAUAGGCUAAUGCAUAAAGAGGUUAACUUUCGUCCAUUAAACACGCCUAUAAUCAAAAGUUGCUUCUUCUUUUUUACUGGCUUUUGACCAUCAUGCGAUGAGUGAUGCCGUGGCGGUUGCGGGGUGUUUUGAUGAGUGAUGCCGUGGUGGUUGUCCUUAGGGGGUGUUUGGAUACUAGGUGCUAAACUUUAGCAGCGUCACAUCGGAUGUUCGGAUGCUAAUUAGGAGUACUAAACAUGAGCUAAUUAUAAAACUAACUGCAGAACCCCUGUGCUAAUUUGCGAGACGAAUCUAUUAAGCCUAAUUAAUCCAUCAUUAGCAAAUGGUUACUGUAGCACCACAUUGUCAAAUCAUGGACUAAUUAGGCUUAAUAGAUUCGUCUCGUGAAUUAGACUCCAUCCGUGCAAUUAGUUUUGUAAUUAGCCUACAUUUAAUACUUCUAAUUAGCAUCCAAAAUACCCGAUGGGAUAGGUGCUUAUUCAAACGGGCCUUAGUUAUCACGUGAGCAGCUAUACCAGCCUUCCACCAAACUAAGGUCACCCGGUGGUCCACAUCCACAUGUUAUUUACAGAAAGGUUAAUAUCAUCGACCGUGACCUGAAUGAAGCCUUAAGGAGAAGGUUCUCCAUGCCGGGACGAGUCAUCGCCCUCCGUGGCACGCAGUGCGAUCUCUCUGGUUGCUGCUAGUCAUGAAACAGGCGAUGUUUCAGAGAUCUCAGGAUUUUCAGACACGACGUCGUGUUUCUUCCUUUUUCAUGUCAGUCAGAGUCGGGCACUCAGGCCUACACGAGUCACCGACCAUUUUUUCAUCAGCUGCUAGGCUAUUUUUCUUCACCGAGGAACAGACCACAUGUCCGGCCAACGAAGGUUCAUCGCGUCCUUUGAUUGGUGACGGUAGAGCUCUCGCGCCUCUCCCGUUGACGUCUGGUGAUUCUGUCUGCCACACAUCUUAUCUGACAUUCUACAAUCGUUCAAAGAUCUCACGCAUCCAUGAGUAAGGUUUGGGGAUGAUGUUGCAUCCGGAAAUUUGACGACCGCGAGUGGUAUGGUAAUAAAUACACGGACUGAGCUUGAUCAACGUAGCUUACUCCACAUGUAUACGUACACUAUAUACACUAUAUCUAGAUGCAUAAUAAUAUCUAUAAAACUAGAAAAGUCAAAAUGACCUAUAAUUUGGAACAACCAUCAAACUUAAGUGUCAAAAUUAAGGUUCUCGAUUCAUCGUCUAGCAUAAAAUUUGCUUAAACCCCGACCUGUUCUUUUUUUUACUGUUGCAACUUGUUCCACGGUGGAUAAAAUCGUUGGCGCAACUAUAUAAUGAUAGAUCCGAUUUGAACUUGAUUCGGAAACGCAACUAGGUUGGCUAAACAUUGAAAACUGCACUAUAAAUGUUGGCAAAGUAAUUUGUGUUGCCACGUCAACCUCGCGUGAGAUGGUCUGGAAUGUGCUUUUUAGGCUGACGCUCUACUCAACUUCUUAAUGAGGUUUAUUUCUUGUCGGGGACAUUUGUCGUGAUGCCUUCUCUUCCAUCUUAAGAGGAGUUUGGGUUGAAAGACCUUGUGCCAGCUUUCGGUCGGCGUUGACAGUGCUUGCGGAUGUUGUUUCCUUGCUGGAGGCAUCAUCGUUGUUACCCUUUCCCUAAGUUAGUUACCUGUUUUGUGUGAGUUGGCUGUCAACUGCAAGUGUAGUGGCUGCAGUUUCUUCCUUGUGGUGGUUUAUGGUUGUCGUGUGGGUGUGGGCUAAUGGUUGAUUCUGAUGACUUGUAAUUGUUGUUCUUUUAUUUCAUAUUCUCUAAAUUAAUCUGUGGGCUUCGUCUAAAAAAAUAAAAUUCAGCCGCGUCUAAAAAACUUUUUGCCAAAUUUCCUGUCGUAUCUCUUUUUUCCCUAAAAUUCUUCCGACGGGCCGGGCCGGGCGCGCCAUUUUUGGCUAAAGUUACCGCAGUGCCCCUUUUCCCCCAGUCGCAGGCUCGCGGCGCAGUGAGCCACACGCCCGCACAUCACGAUCGCUGCUAGCGGGCCCCGCUUUCAGUGACCGCACACCGAACGAACCCGCGCGUGGGACCCACCGCCCAGCGGUCGAACCACCCCUCCCUCUCUCUCUCUCAGCUUGCCGCGACGAUAAGCACGGCAAUCCAAUCCACCACGAAGCCGCCAUCCGCCAUUAGCCCUGCACCACCCCGUCACGCAAUAGGCAGGAGAGAGGUGGAAGAAAGAAAGAAAAAAAAACAGAAAGGAAAAACACCAGCUUACACGAAUCGUCUCGAGCCUCUCGGGUGAAGUUAUAAAUAACCCCCAUCGGGGCUAGGGUUGAGGAUUUUCUUUCUUCGCUUCUCGCGAAUCGCCGGACGAGCAGGGCAGCAGGCCGAAUCGGUUCGAGGUCUCCGCGGGAGGCUUCGCGGCGCGGGAUCUGCCGCGCAGGAGUUGACGGUGUGAUUCGGGAGGUGGGGUUUUGGCGGGCGGCGCCGGGUUCCCGGUUGGCCGAUUCGGGCGAGAGGCUGGGGCGCGGGGGCGGGCGAUCGGGCCACUGGAGCUGCACCCACUGGUUGCGGGCCAUGGCCGGGAUCGACGCCGGGGAGGGGGCGGCCGCCGCGCCGCCGGAGAUGUCGCCGGAGCAGCGCAUCGAGCAGGUGCGUCGCGUGUCCGCCUGGGGCCCCCUUCCUUCCCUCCCUCCCUCCCUCGUGUGUGAUCCUCACCCCAUCAUCGACCCCGUGCGGCGGUGGCUGCUUGCCGGGUGCCGUCGCCCCUCUGGUUCCUGGUCUCGUGAUUGGUUGGAAUCGGUUCGGCGGGUGAUUUGAGAUUUUACCGGUCGAUGGGCGCCGUGGGACUCGUUGCUGUCCGUUGGCGGUGGUGGUGGUGCUUGCGAUUUGCGAUUCCCUUCGAUGGUGCGAUGAUUGGUGUGUUUGCUGUGAGCCUGUGACAGGAACUGACUGGUGUAGGGAGUUUGGGGGUAGGUCCUGUUUUUUAGGGUGACGCAUAUUGGGAGAAUUUGAGAACAGGCCUUUUAAAAAUGUGUCAAUUUUUCAUACUCCGCGUAACUUCACUCUAGUUCUAUUUCCUUAUUAGUACCUUUGAAGAAUUUGUCUAUUUUUUAGUUGAUCCCUAAGAUAGGGAUGGGAGAUUCCUUCAGAACUGGGUGUGUUUCUCGACUGUGUUGAAGAUAAUCAGUUGUCUUGUUGCAGUUGCAGUGAUAUGAGUUUCACUUCAUGAUAAAUUUAAAUGAUCCAGCAGGGUCUUUUGUAAUUUGCUAAUUAUUUGGCAUUGCCCUCACCCUGCAGAAGCUCAUUCUCUAUGGAGUACCCGAAGAGCAACUGCAAGAACACCAAGAAGGCUUACUCAUGUACAUAGAGAAGCACAAAGAGCAGAUACCUGAUAUAGUGAGGCUGAUCUUGUCAGUAGGUACUGAUAUUCUGGAGGCCCGAAAGCCCUCAAAGAAGGAAUCAAGUAGCAGCAGCAGUGGCGAUGCGUACAGUGAGAGUUUGUCUUGGUUGCAGUGGUUGAUGUUCAACCAUGAGCCAGAAGCGAUGCUUCAAGACCUGGAUCGUUCCUCUGCAGGAGAUCGUGCUGUUUGUGGGUCAGUCUGGGGACAGAGUGAUCUUGCGUAUCGCUGCCGGACCUGUGAAAAUGACCCCACGUGUGCAAUUUGUGUCCCAUGCUUCCAGAAUGGCAAUCACAAGGAUCAUGAUUACUCCAUCAUGUAUACAGGGGGUGGAUGUUGUGACUGUGGAGAUGCUACCGCCUGGAAGCGUGAAGGGUUCUGCUCAAAGCAUAAAGGGGCCGAGCAGAUUAAGCCUCUUCCAGAGGAGCUUGCACAUUCUGUAGGACCUGUGCUGGAUGUGCUUUUGCAGUUCUGGAAGGAGUGGAUAUGCCUGGUGGAACCACCCCCUGCAAAGGGUGAUGGUAGUAGCUCAUGCAAGAGGGUUGCUGAAGAGUUGACAAUGUCAAUUACUAACAUGAUGCUUCAGUUCUGCACUUGCAGUGAAAGCCUUCUUAGUUUUCUGUCCCUAAGGAUCCGUGAGUGCCAAGAUCUGUUGGAUGCAUUAAUAAGGUCAGAAAGGUUGCUUGACAAGAAGGUUGCUAAAAAAUUGCAUGAGUUGCUAUUGAAACUUAUCAGCGAUCCUGCUUUUAAGUAUGAGUUUGCCAAGGUUUUUAUACGCUACUACCCUGUCACAUUUGGUGAAGUUAUCAAAGGGUGCAAUGAUUCGCUACUGGAGGAGUAUCCACUGAUGCCAACUUUCUCUGUGCAAAUAUUCACAGUACCUACACUAACUACAAGGCUUGUGCAUGAGGUUAAUUUGUUGGGUGUUCUUCUUGGAUGCUUGACAGAUCUGUUUCUUUCUUGCAUUGGUGAGGAUGGUCGUUUACAGGUAUGCUCAUGUCUUCUUUUUAUGAUUUGAAGAGUUUGAUGUUUAUGCUGAACUAUUUUCUGGUAUAAUGGAUGUAAAUGUUAGGCUGACCAUAAGACCUUACGCCAGGAGUCUAUCAAUGUUGUUAUAACGAUAUGUCAUCUGGAUGCCUAGUAUCUUAAAUUGCACAGAAAAAAAAGACUAGUAGAAUUGCCACUUUGAUAUCUGGGAAUGGAUGAAUGAUAAACAUUUCUGGACAAUACCCUUGUUGGUUUCUGUUAAUUUUUUUUUGAGAAGUGGCAUUGAAGUGCGAAAAUAUUUAUAGAUAAUACUGAUUGACUGGUAGUCUUAUGCCAUUGUAUAUAUCAACUCAGUGCAUACACAUACAAUGCCACUUUACUUUCAUAUGGUUACGGGAGACCCUUUUCACCUUGUUAUUUGCAGACAAACAAAUGGGGAAACUUAUUUGACGCUUCUGUUCGAUUAUUGGAUGAUACACGCUAUGUCUUGAGUCAUGAGGAAGUUUCUAAGUAUGUUGCUUAUGAGAGGCCUGAUCUAACAAGGUCAUGGAUUAAGCUCUUAUCACUUGUGCAAGGUAUGGAUCCUCAGAAGAGAGUGACAAGUAUUCAUGCUGAAGAUGAAAAUGAACAUCUAUCUGCACCUUUCGUGCUGGGGCACUAUUUUGGAAUUGUCCAGAACCUUCUGAUAAAGGGUGCAUUUUCUCCUCCUGAUCAACAUGAAUCAACUGAUGUUACUGUUUGCUCCUCUGCGAUAAACGGCAUGGAGAGUGCUGAAAAUCAACGGCAUGCAAAAGUUGGAAGGGUCUCCCAGGAGAGCUCAGUAUCCAAUUUAAGCAUCCGAGACAGUUCUUUGAGUUGUGGUUUGCCGUCACCUGCUGCCUGGUUAAUUCUUCAAUGCCUGAAAGCUAUUGAAAGUUGGUUGGAACCUGACAUAGCUCUGAGGAGCAAGCUGUCAUCCCUUGAUCCUAGCAGCAGCGAUUCUCGUAAUUUUAUGGCUUCGCCUGAAGAUCGGACUUCUGAUAAGGGAACCAGUUCAAAUACAAAUAUAGGCGUGAUGGGUGUCAAGAUAAAUGAAGGAUCACAACCAGAUGGUACUGCAGAUUAUCGUGAUGUAUCUAGUUCUCCUGUUCAUGGUAAUUGCGACAGGAUGCAGAUUGACCAAGAAGAGAUACCUUCAGCUAGUAACAGGACAGGCAAAGGGAAGAUGCAUGACAGCAGCAACACUACAGAUAUAGAGUUGCACCCUGAGAAUGCCAUUACUUAUACUCUGACUGACGGUAGCCUUUUGCACGCUCAUCCUGAUUCAAGAAUCGAGGAACUAGGAAUACUCAACACAAGAGGUUGGCCUCAUGUUAUCUUUGACGUCAGUUCACAAGAAACUUCUUUCCAUAUCCCUUUGCACCGUAUGCUUUCAUUGCUGUUGCGGAAGGCGAUGAAGAAAUGUUUUGGAGAGGAUGCCAGGCCAGAUGAACAUUCAGUUGUGCAAUCCUGUGAGUUCUUUUCUCAGGUACUUAGAGGUUGUGAGCCUUAUGGGUUUGCUUCGAUUGUGAUGGAGCAUCCACUGAGAGUCAGAGUAUUUUGUGCACAAGUGCGUGCUGGAAUGUGGCGUAAGAAUGGUGAUGCAGCUAUACUGAGUGCUGAGUGGUACCGCUCUGUGCAAUGGUAAUUUCAUACUGAUCUCAUGUUGAUUCACUGUUCAAAUAAUGGUGCUAAGGUUAUCUUGUUACCCCUAUUUCCAGGCUUGAACAAGGUCUGGAGUCAGAUCUGUUUCUUCUUCAAUGCUGUGCUGCACUAUCUUCUCCAGAGUUCUUUGUACGAACAAUUCAAGAGCGAUUUGGUUUGUCCAGUUAUACAUCUUUGGAUCUUGCGGAACAGAAUGAGUAAGCCCUAAUAUAUGCUUGUCAACUUCUGUUUCUUUCUAGUAUUGCUUCUUCAAUUUCUUGCACUACCUUACCUAUAUAUGUAGCUUUGUGGGUUUGGCGCAGUCACUUUUUUGUUUCCACCGGUAUCUACCAAUAAAAGUUACAAUGGUGACAAAAGUUAAAAUGAUUCUUCCCACCUUCCAGCAUUACUUCUCUGACUACGUAUUGCUCAUCUUUUGGUUCCCAUCAGUAGAUUUUAUCUGUCAUCACAAAUAAGGAAAAAAAAUAGCCAUUUUCAUUUCUUUGUGCCUUUGCUUGGCAAGAAAGUAAGGUGCCAUUCACUCCGUUCUGUUAUAAAUAAGUCCCAGUUUCUGUGAAAGCCCAAUAUUAUAGGUCCAUUUAUAGCAGCUACUCCCUUCUUGUAUGAAGUCAUAGAAUCUGUGCCAUCAGACUUUCUAAAGUUCAAUUGCCAAUUUGUUUAAAACCACACUAUAUCAAAACGCUUUCACAAAAUUAUAACGUUAUUAGUAUCAAUUGACGAAGUUAGGGAAGUAGCAGUCAAAGUCAUGUGUCCGAUACCGCAAGAACCAAGAAGUAAAAAAGUGUGAUUCAUAAAAAGAAAGGAGAGAGCAUUUAGUUCUAUCCAAAUUUAUCAAAGACAACAAAGUUUUAAGUAUUUGGUCAAAACUAGCUUUGUUCAAUUUGAGCUCCAUAAUCCAUGAGAUCCAGUCAUGGCCUAGGGAAAUAUUGUUUGCAUGCUUGCCUUUUGCCUUCUCUAUCGUCCCUUCACUGUUUUCACAGUUAUUCAGACUAAUUUCUUACUGAAAAUUUUCUCACAAAAUUUAAGAAUUAUUUUAUGCCACAUGUAGGUUCUGACAGUAUGUUGCUUUCAGGUAUGAGUCAGUUCUAAUGCAGGAAAUGCUAACUUUUCUUAUACAAUUGGUUAAAGAACGCCGUUUUUGUGGGCUUUCCACAGCAGACAACUUGAAGAGGGAAUUGAUUUAUAAGUUAGCUAUUGGAGAUGCCACUCAUAGCCAGAUUGUGAAGUCUCUUCCUCGCGAUCUUUCAUCAAGUGACCAACUUCAAAAUGUUCUGGAUUCACUGGCAGUUUAUUCUAAUCCAUGCGGCAUGAAGCAGGUAUUAGUCCUUCGGUUUAUGUAACACAUUCCCUUAAAAUGCAAGAUUAAUGUAAAACUUUAUCGCAGGGUAAGUAUGUACUUCGCAAAUCGUGCUGGAACGAAUUGGACUUGUAUCACCCCCGCUGGAAUUCUAGGGAAUUGCAAAUUGCGGAGGAGAGAUAUUACCGUUUCUGCAAAACUUCUGCUCUUAAUGCUCAGCUACCUCGGUGGACUCACGUUUUUAGCCCACUGAGAAGUAUUUCUAACGUUGCAACCUCAAAGGCUGUCCUUCAGAUUGUUCGUGCUGUUCUCUUUUAUGCUGUUUACAGUGAAGCAUCAUCAGCAUCACGCGCCCCUGAUAAUGUUCUCGUGACGGGUUUACAUCUGCUUUGGUUGGCACUUGAUAUUUGUGAAUCAGAAAGACAAGUACAUGCCGACCAGUAUGGCAUGGAUGUGGUGCAGCAUGAUGAUGAAUCAUGGGUUGUUCUGUCAUCGUACACAGAAGAGGCUUUUCCCAUAUUGACUUACUCUACUGAAGUAGUUUCCCCGGAGUCUGACAAUGUAAAGAAAGAAAGCAUGUUAACCCUACUUGUGUUGCUAAUGCACAAAUACAAAGAAGAGAAUGAUGCCACCUUUUCUGGAUCCAAGUACUGUAAUAUUCCAUCCCUAAUUGAGAGCUUAUUGAAGAAAUUUGCCAAGUUAAGUAAGAAGUGCAUGUUUACAUUAAGACAAAUGGCGCCACAUGUAGUCCCAUCUACACCAGACAGUUCCAGUAUCAAAGAAAGCCUAGGAACUUCAUCAGAUCCCAUGGAAAAGAAAGCAAAAGCACGUCAACACCAAGCUGCAAUUAUGGUAAGAUGUUUAAUUACAAAAUUCAUAUAUAUUUAGUUACACAUUAGACAUGUCUCAGAUAACCAAUUACCAGCCUUAUUUGAAUGCGAGUUGUCUUUGUUGAAUGAGCUUACCAAAAAUAGACAACUUUAUCAAUUUUCUUUGUAUAUGUACUAGUUCUGCAGUUUCCUUGGUUUGGUGUUAAUUUUGUUUUUACGGCUUGUAAUGUCUACACUUAUUUUGCACAUGCUUAGGUUGUGAAGUUAGUGGUUUUGACCUUUUUCUAAGUUACAUUAAGGCAUUAAGCACAAUUUUCUUCUAUUGGACCCUAUUUAUUUUAGGCGAAGAUGAGGGCAGAGCAGUCCAAAUUUGCUGAAAGUAUGAAGUCAUCAGAAAACGAGGGGCAUGAUGUUCCAAUGUUAGAGACAGAUGUGUCCAGUUCAACUGGUGCGGUCUCUGAGGAGUCACUACCAGUUUGCUCCUUGUGCCGGGACUCGGACUCCAAAAGCCCUCUAUGCUAUUUGAUUCUUCUUCAGGUAAUCAUUGUUGACUUGACAUUAUCUGGUGAUACCUGAUAGGUCUUAAAGUAGCAACUGUCCUUUCUGCAUCAUUUUGGCGUGUAAUGUUUUCUGACUAGUGUUUGAAUAGCAUGUUGAUGUGACUUAAGCUUUCUUAUGUGUCCUACAAUUCAGAAAUCUCGGCUUGCAACUUUUGUUGAGAUGGGUCAUCCAUCCUGGGAUAAUCCAACUCAAGCAAACAAGACGUCUGGAUCAGUCAAGAAGGAAGAUUCAACUGAUUCCUUGGUCUCUGGUUCUUCAACUUCCGAGGAACUUGUCGAUGACACGACAGUAGAGCCAUCUUUUGAUUUAGACAGCAUGGAAGUUGAUGCCUUUCUUGAUUUUUCAAAUGAGCAGCAUCCACUAAUUCGAUAUAUAUCGUCUUUCCCAAGUGGACAUUGCAAUGGCAAUGCAGAUGACACUGUCUCGCUUGAGGCAAUUGAGGCUGAUAUUUACAACUCUAUUUUAAAUGAUGUAUUUGGAUCCAGUAAUGCACACAUUCAGAAUGCUGAGCAAACGUCGCCAUCAUCUGCUUCAAGUAUCACAGUUGAUUCCAAGAAAACCAGAAGCCCCAAGCGUUCUGUGCUGGGAACAUAUGUUAGUUGUCUAUCAGCAAAACACCGCCAUUCUUCACUCUAUGAUGUAGCUUCCAAAUCUUCUGCCUCUGUUAGUACAAGAAACAAGUUUGGUCCGCUUCAUUGUGAUGGCAUCCACAUUUCUUCUUGUGGACAUGCUGUACAUCAGGAAUGCCAUGAUCGGUAUUUGUUCUCCUUGAAACAAAGGUAUGCUGGGUUUUCUCCUUCAAAUCCCUUUUGUUCAACUGUAACUAUAGGCAGGAAAUAAAUAUUUUACACUUGUGCCCUUUGGGUAGGUGUUGUGUUUGAAUGGUGAUCCAUCAGUUAUAUGAGUACAGAUGCACACGAUGGUUGACUUAUAACCUUUGGAUGAUGCAUUUAAUUUAUGGGCAAUUAAUUAUUUGGCCAUCAAAUAAGUUCCAGUCUAUGAUUUGCCAUCGAGCAAGUCAGGUUUCGCGCCAGCAUCUGUAUUCUAAAUUUCUUCACUGCAUGCCAUUGCCGGAUGGCUUGGUGUGAUUUUUCUUUUAAUUUUAAAAUCAUGAUGGUAUGGAAAUUGGACUUGUUUGAUGGCAAAUCAUGAACUAGAAUCUUCUCCUAUGGUAGAUUUUGGAUUUAUUCUUCAAUGAUCUUUCAGUACUCUAUACAACUUGCUGUUUAGGAGCCUACUUGAAUUAAUAUAUAACACUGGCUGCACACCUCCUGUUGAUUGAUGCUUGCAGAAAUUUGUAACUUAUUUUCCCUUACAGAUAUGUCCGGAGACUUGGUUUUGAAGGUGGUCAUAUUGUCGAUCCUGAUCUGGUAUGUAUAUUGUGUUUGAAACUUGUCUUUUUUUUGUUUUUGUUGAUCCUGUGCUUACACAUUGCUAUGUGCAGGGAGAGUUGCUUUGUCCAGUAUGUCGCAGAUUUGCGAAUUCCAUUCUUCCAGCAUCAACUGAUUUCUCUAGUAAAACAUUGAAGGGGAAACCAUUUGUUGAAACCUUGACCCGUGAAGUUGUUAUUACAACUACGUCACAUCUAAAUACAAGUCACUUACAGUUUCCUCGAGCACUAUCACUUCUUGAAAGUGCUGGAAAAACUGUUGGACAAAGCAAGUUUCUAAAAGCUUUAUCAGGGAAGCUUAAUGAUACUACAGAGUCAUCCCUAGAACCUUCUCUUCGAAGAUUAGCCAUGCUUUACUAUCAUCGUGGUCCCAGCGGUUUUUCAGCAUCUGAAAGGAAAAGGCUCAAUCCAUCCUUGUUUCUCUGGGAUACACUAAGGUACUCUGUGGUAUCUACAGAAAUUGCUUCUCGUGGUAGGAUGUUAAACCAGUCUGCUGAGUCAAAGUCCUGCUUGGAAUCUUUGCGUGGUGAACUGAAUUCAUCAAGUGGAUUCAUAUUGUCCCUAUUAUUCCGUGUUGCUCACUCUGCACGAAAUUUGAAUCGUCUUGAGGUUCUUUUAAGGUUUGAAGGUAUCCAACUAUUAGCGGGGUCUAUUUGCUCUUGCAUUUCUGGUUAUAAAGACGUUCUUAAUGCUACUAAGCGAAAAGGUAUAUAGUGCACCCUUUCCCAUUACUUUUUUUAAUGUAUUUACCUGCAUGUUAGAUGGUACUCUUUUCCUUUGUUUUGAAGUGUCCUAUUAAUCCCAGUUCUAUCACAAAUCAUGACUUUUCUAUUUCAUUCAGUUUGGAAUUUACAAUAUUUACAAUUAAUACAAUAUAUUCAAAUUCAUGGAUUCUUAUAUGUUAGUGAUUUGAUGAUUGAUAUGUUGGUUCUUAAUUGUUAGUGUUUGUAGAACGGGUUGAUUCUUUUUUUUUUUGGCAGUGCUACUAUUAUCUUGUUGUUUUCUCUGUUGUGCUGACUAUGUUGUGCUGAUUAAUUGUUAUUGUUUCUGUCUUAGAUCAGAUGUACAAUUUUUUGUGGAGUGUCACUAUUGCCUUUGCUUUAUUAUUGUCCUGAUUUAUAUGCUAUGAACCAUUUUAAGUUUUUAUCUUAUUUAUGAUCCUAUUUUGCUUUCCUCUUGAAAGCCCUAAGUGUUGUAUAUCCUGCAUCUUUGUAUUGGUGAUUGUUAGUUUUAUAAUUUGUAUCUAACUGAAUUUUGAGUUGAUAGUACUUGCAUAGUGAAGAAUUCUUGUCUAGAUAUACUUGCAUUGAUUUUGAAGUAAUAAAUAAACCUUCCAACUUGAUGUAUUAGUAACAAAGUGCCUGAGUAAAGAAAUUGAUUUUUUCUUUGCAAAGACCUAAGCAUUCAUUAUCCAGUGCUCGUUAAAGAAACUAAAUCAAAAGGGCGCGGACCAGUUGUUGUAGGUUCUGUGCCUUUCAACAAAGUGCCUGAGUAAAGAAAUUGAUUUUUUCUUUGCAAAGACCUAAGCAUUCAUUAUCCAGUGCUCGUUAAAGAAACUAAAUCAAAAGGGCGCGGACCAGUUGUUGUAGGUUCUGUGCCUUUCAAGAAGGCUCCAUUACAUGUCAAAGUAGAAGUUGACCUAAACGAAAGUCAAUUUUCUUGUAGAACUGAUUUGGUCAUCAUAAUAUGCUAACAUUAGAUGUCUGAUGUACAAGAAAAAUAUCAAGAGGUAGUAUUUGGUUCUAAUGAUCAUAGCCCGGCAACUUGCGAAUUGCAUUUCUAAAAUUUGUGUUGCUGGCCUGGAUGGAACUUGAAUUAUUCUAUCUCUUGUGCACAUCAUGUCUCCAAAUCACUUACUCCCUCCGUUCCAAAUUGUAGGUCGUUUUGGCAUUUCUAGAUUCAUAGCUUUUAAUAUGUUUUAAUAUGUAUCUAGAUGCAUAGCAAAAACUAUGAACCUAGAAAUGCCAAUUUGGAAUGGAGGGAGUAUGGAAUAUAUAUUUAGGUAUCAAUUCUCACCUUUUUCAUCUUCAACAGGCUCUUUGCCACCUAUGGUUGAUCCAGGUGAGGAGGGUCCCCUCUUCCCUGACGUCCAAUUUUGGAAACAGUGUGCUGAUCCAGUCCUUGCUCAAGAUCCAUUUUCUUCUUUGAUGUCAACACUUUUCUGUCUACCUGUUCAGUUUGUAUCAUCUGCUGAAUUCUUCAUCCCUUUUGUCCAUCUGUUUUAUGUUGUUUGUGCCAUUCAGGUAUGCUGUUUGGUGUUGCUUUCUCUUGAGAUUUGCAGUUUAUAUGUUAGUUUUAUUUGAUUUAAAGCAUGUUAUUACAUGAAUUUUCCUGUAGGCCCUGAUAACAUGCUACGGAUCGGAAACUUUUGACCGAUCUAGCUUCAGUGACUGCCUUCUUAAUGAUGUUUGCAAGACAAUGUCAGGAUAUGAUAUUGCCAGAGAGUAUUUUGUAUCCAAAUAUAUCGACCCGUAUUGUCAUCCAAAAGAUAUGGUCCGUAGAUUGACGUAUCCUUAUCUUCGGAGAUGUGCAUUGCUUUGGGAGCUGCUAAGAUCGUCUGCCACAUCACCCUUAUAUGACAAUUCCAAUAUUUGGGAAGGAUCACAUCUUUACCUGAGCAAUAGCACACAAGAUGGAAGUUCUUCACUGGCAAUGGAGCUAAAUGGAAUAAGCGAAUUGGAAAAGCUGUUCCAGAUUCAGUCACUGGACCUGAUUCUCCGAGAUGAAUCUGUACAUGUGCUGGCCUUAAAAUGGUCUCAACAUUUCUGUGAAGAUUACAGUUCUCGCAAAUAUAGAGGCUCUCUCUUUUCUACCCCUGCAGUUCCAUUUAGGCUGAUGCAACUACCACCUGUCUACCAAGUUCUCCUUGAAAGGUUUGGUCUGAAUCUUCUAAGCUGAGAUGAUGUUUUGCAUGGGCUGUGCCUUGAUGGGCUAAGCUUUUCCCACAUUUCUGGAGCUAAUGGCUUGUCAUUUUUUGGAUCAGAUAUAUCAAGAUGCAAUGCCCCGAUUGUGGCUCAGUGCCUGAUGAACCGGCAUUGUGUUUGCUUUGUGGCAAACUAUGUUCACCUAGCUGGAAACCAUGCUGCAGGUGAUAGCACUUUGCUUUUUACAGUUCCAAGUAGCCUUGUUUUGGUUCUACUGUAAUUAAUGCUAAAUCCUAAUUAUUGUUUAUUCUUUGUAGGACUGGUAAAUGCCUGAAUCAUGCAUCACAAUGUGGUGCCGGUGUUGGCAUAUUUCUUUUAGUGAGGGUAUGUAUUAGCUUAUUAUUUGCCAUCACACCAAAUUAUUAUGGCCAGUGUACUUUCCUUUGUUCUUUCUGAGACCAAGCUCCUUUCCUAUUUUGACGGAUGUGCUGUGCAGAAAACAACGAUCCUGUUGCAGCGAUCUGCUCGUCUUGCCUUUUGGCCAUCUCCUUACCUUGACACGUUUGGGGAGGAGGUAUUGAAUAAUUUCGUAUGCUUUGUUGUUGUUUAUGGACUUAAGCCUGUUUGUUACGAUCCCCACUAAAUUUUCCUCCCAGGUCUCAAAUGGGAGCUUUUUUCUUUUUGAUGUUAUCCUCGUGCUUCUCCAUGAAGCAUCUCUUACAAUAGCAAUACAAAGUGAUUUAUGAUGGCUUGAUGCCGUGCCUAAUCAUCUGAGACCUUUUAUAGAUCAAUGCUGUGCCUAAUCAUCUGAAUCUUUUGAUACAUCAGACAUACUGCUGUAGGUCUGAUGGCGUAUUGAUCCUCUUCACUUUCUGUUUUCUGUGGAUAAACAUUGAUUAUUUAAGGUUAAUAUGGGUGGUAGUUUAUGCCUAGCUUGCAAGGCAAAUGCACUGUUAAGUGGGGGUAGUUGAGAUUUGUCCUUGCAUAGUUGCAUUCAUACUGCAAGGUCAUUAGACAAAUGCCUACAUACAAAAUUUUGCAAUGAGGUAAAGGGGGAUUUUUUUUUACAUGUCUAGAUGUGAGCUUAUUCCCCUUCCCUUCUGGCUUUCUGUUUGAAUGCAGGAUCAUGAAAUGCAGAGAGGAAAGCCUUUGUAUCUAAGUCAAGAAAGAUACACAGCCUUGACCUAUCUGGUAAUAGGCUGACACCCUUUCCUCUUUGCUUUCUCGACUUAAUGCUAUUAGGAAUUUGCACCAUUUUUUAUAAAUGGGAUGCAUGCCCUUUUUUAUGUGAUAGGUGGCAUCUCAUAGCCUUGAUCGAACUUCUGAAGUCCUUCGGCAAACGACUAUCAGCUUUUAUGGAUCUGGAUCUGAUUAAAUGCAAUUUCCAUGGAACAAUGUUGAAAGGUUUGGAUUAUGUUUAUGUUUGGCAUGUUGGAUUUAGAGAAUGGAAGGAUUGGCAGCUUUGUUUUCCCAAAUGCUUGUUCAUUGGUCAUAAUGGUUGGUUUAGGUGACAAACGGAAUUUGAUUAGUUAGCAAGGGCAUAUUUGUACUAUGGUAUGUGGUCACUAUUUACUUCUCUUAGUAGGCGUGCACAAAUCUAAACAUUGAAUAUAGAAAGAAGACGGAGUAAUCUUAACAUGUGUAUUAGACCCACCAGAGCAAUUAUGCUGCUGGCAGGUCACCCAGCCACAAACAAGUUUUGUCAUGUACAGUUCUAUGAAAGAGCUUGCCAAUGGAAUGAGAGGGGGCCAAUAAGAGAGUGGAUUAGAUAACAAUUAAGUGGUGACAUAGGGCAUUGCUUACCCUUGGCCUUAGAGAAGCUUUGCAAUUGUCUUGAACUGCAACAGCAGUACUCCCUCCGUCCCAAAAAAAAAAGUCAUUAUAGGAAGUUUAAGACAUACUAAUAAGGAGGUAAAAUGACCUUGUUUACCCCUAUUUAUUAGCCAUAUUUAGCACAAAUGGACAGCAUUAUGCAUAUGCACAUACCAAAUAGGGUAGAAUGACUUGUUUUUUGGGACAAAUCUUGAACCCUAGAAUGACUUUUUUUUUGGGAAGAGGGAGUACAUGAUAAUCUCUGUCGAAUCAUCACCGCUCACACCUUUAGCAGGACAAAUUUUACAUUGCAGUGUGAUACUAGGGUUAUUGUUAAUUUAUCAUUUGCUGCCUUGUCAGGGUCUUGUGGAUGUGCAUAUUUUUGGGAACUCUAGUGCAACUUGGUGUUCAUAUUUUCCAGCGGUAACAAGUGUUACCUCUCCCAAGGUUUACAUCUACAAGCUUCUUUUGCUAAUGGGCGUUUAAGUGCAAAAUGCUGUGACAUGCCUGUGCCAUUGUUUUCGCUUCUGAUUACUUGUCGAUCUUCCGGAUGGCGUGGAUCCUGCAGGCUUUGCCACCGGUCGUGCUUGGGGGCCCUGCCGUCCUCUCUUGCUGAAUGUACGGUUGUUUUCAUGCUUCUUUUCAUUGUUCAUGGCCGGUGCUUCCCAAAGUGGAUGAUAGGUAGGCCUAGUGGCGACCUGGAAUAUUUGACGAUCGACUGCUUGAUCUGUCUGUACAGUGUAUUACAUUGGAUCGGUGUAGUUAGUAUGAAAAAGGCAGGCAAGUGCCAUUUGGUCAUCAUGUGCUUUUGUGUACCAUGUUGCUUUGUCAUUUGUCUGCUGAAUCUUUCGAGUUCUUGUUUCUUUUUUCAUGCAAGUUCUUGUGUUGAAGCGAGGUCAGAGUGCUCUGCAUAGGCACUAACACAUUGUUUCGUUGCAGCACUAACACUCAGCUUGGGAGCGUCCCUUGUUGCAACCUACGUACGGUGUGCUUUGCUUCGAAGGUUGGGUAGAAAAGCAAUGAGAAGUCGCAUGAAAGAAAUGAGUAUUCAAGUCCGCAUAUCGCAUAAAAGGUGUAACGGUAAUUAAAAAAAACUCGACGAGUCCAAGGCUUCAAGCCUUGGAAACACAGUGGCUGUACCAGGUGUAUACAAAAGUCAUCUGCGGGAGUACUCAUCAACCAACUUCGUUCAGCUUGAAGAUAGAGGCUGAACAUCCGGCGAUGGACCAUGUUGCUUGGUUCUUCUUCGAGGAGGCACCUCCUGAAUUGCUCUGCUUUGGCGCAGCCAACCAUCUCCAGACGUUUCAGCUUGCCUAGAUUCUCUGCCUGGUCCAGGGCUGGACAGUCCUGCACGAACAAAUCCUCAAGCUUGGAAAGAUUGGCGAUCCUCGUAAGGCUUCGGUUGUGCUUCACCUUGAGCCACACAACAGCGGGAAGGUCCACAAAUCUCAUGUAGGCUAUGCGCACCUUCGACAAGUUUGCAGCCCUGUGCAGAUCUUGAGGGAGUGCCCUCAAUUUUGGACAAUGCAGUAGCGACAGACGCUUGAGGAGAGGCAUCAGUAUCACCUGGUUGGGGGAGUCUCCGAUUGUGUUCUGAUUGCACAUGCCUACUGUGCUCAGUGAGCAGGCCUCCACAAUUUUAUGAACAUUACAUUCAGCUCAAAUUCCUCAAACAAGACAUUGAAAAGCGAGGGCAGGAGAUUCAGCACGCUCAAACAAUACAAAAACGCCUUAAGCGAUCAUAUAAGCACACUGCAAAAAAGACAGAAGGCGCCACUGAAGAGGUGAUUUACAGCUAUCAAUCAACAAAAUUUCCGAUUCGACUACAAUUUUUUUGUAUCGAACACGCAAGAGAUUUGACUUGGUCAAAGUUGUGUUUUGAAGACUGGGUACUGCUUAUUUGGAACUGGAGUGAGCAUUAUACGUGUUUUCUUUAUGAAUAAUGUACUAUAAGAACAAAACAAAAGUUGUUCCAAACUAACCAAAUAAAAGUUCGCAGUAGAAAACUAUUGCUACAGUUAUAUCAGUUCCUUUUUGCGCAGCAUCCAUCUUUGGCGACAAUGGAUGGUAAUGUGUUCAAAUUUUAUUCCGUUCGGGUGCAAGUCUACUGUUGAAUGGCUUGGCUUCAAAACUUUGCCGCCCAGUUGUGCCUUGCGGACUUGCAGUUGCGGUGGUUGCCCACUACUUCAGCUUCCAACGGUCCAAGGUGUUUUGCACCAGCCACCAGGUACUGUGCCAUUCUGAAGAGCAUAUCAAAUUGUCGAGGAUUUUGGCCCAUAGCCAGACAUCAUACCACAGUCCAAGGUGCACACUGCAAUCCACCGUCGGCGGACCUGCUGAUCACAUGAACAAUGUCUGGUGUUGAUGGACGGCUAGUAACCAUGAUACCGGAACAAUUUACAAGGACGAAUGACGUUUCAGAGUAUCAGUAAAGAACAUUGCCAAUCACAAAAGGAGAAUAUAAGCUGAGAAAUUGCUGAAACAGUAGCAAAGCCUAAAUGUUGAUAACAACAUAUCAGUAUAUCACAUUAGAAAUGAAGCCAUACACUUUACUAAGCUAGUUUGCUCACCUUUCUAAUGAUAGAGAGAUUCAUCUGGAAAUAUAUCUCGGCCAUCCGCACCAACUGUUGCAACAUGUACUCAGAUGUCUUGUUCUUCUUUCAGGAGACAAUUCCUGAACUGCUGUCCGUUCAGGCAGUCAACCAUGUACAAGCACUUCAGUGAAGAUUGGAGAUUCUCCUCAAAGAUUUAUUGUUCUUGACCGUGAGCCACAAAACUUCAGGAAGGUUUACAACUUGUUGAAGCUUGUGAGCACCUUCAAUGUGAAUCCUUUUUAAAUUAACAGCUCUAUGCAAAUCUUCAGGGAGAGCUCUUAGUUUAGGACAAUCAAGGAGCAACAGGCGCUUAAGGCAAGGCAUCAGAACGAGCUGUUGAGAUUUGGUCUCCAUGUUAUUACACAAGCUUCUUGUUUUGAGGGACCAACUUUCCAAAUUGCGCAUGCGAAUGAUGUGAAGCAAUUCGAGCUUUGGGAAAACAGCUGCUGCUUUAGUCACACCUCUCCCCAGGAAUUCUGCACCCAUAGUCACUACUGCACCUGCACCUCUAAUCUGAAGAACUAGUAGUUCUGGCAUCUGGCCUACUGGUGGUAGUUGUAAACAUGAUAUGCACUCAUUGAGCUGCAUGUGAGACAAAUUUGGAAGCUUAUACUCUGGCUCUGAACAUAGCCAUUCUGGGAACCUUACACCAGGGAACCCAACAAAGAAAAUGUAUAAUAGGCUUGGUGAUGGAAUAAGCAUCUCAUAGACUUGCUGAAUUUUCUCAAUCUCACUGGCUUGGUAAUGAGUUUUAUCAUGAAUAUUCAUGCCCACUGUGCAGCACAACCCCAGUUCUCUGGCUUGGUAUUGCCUUUUCAAGCUUCUCAACCCAGAGGCGUUGGAUAUUGGUGAGACAUUUUAAUUCAUCCAAUCUGAACCCAGUCUCACUUUCAAAGACACCUCUGAGGUAGUAGAGCUGCUGGAACUGGCAAUUCCUUUUGGAACAUGAUCAAUAGCAGUCUUUUCAAGUUUAAGAAAACUUAUCUGUGAUAGUCUCAUUAAACAAACUGUCAGACUAUCCAACUUAUGGCAACCACGCAAUGAGAGAGAUUCAAGGCUGGUAAGCCUUCCAAUCGAAUCUGGAAGUUUGCUGAUCUCUGUAUAACUUAGAUCUAGCAACCUCAACAACACCAGGUUUCCCACUGACUCUGGAAUGAUUAGGAUGCCCGAUCCACUUAGAACUAAGACACGGAUGUGCUCAAGCUUUCGGAAAAUAUUCGUGUUAACUGACUUGAAGUUCUUGUUAUUGAAAAUUAGGAGGCUCCUCAUGCAUUUAUACUCUCCUAUAGCAGGUAUUUCUUCUACAGAACUGCUGAUACUUAAGCACCGCAGAUUAGGCGGAACUUCAUUAUUUUCUGCAUUCAUGAAUAAGGAAUGAUACCUUGUCAAAUACUGCCCAAGUGACCUCAAUAGAUCGUGCAUUGUUGAAAUACCUUUGUCCACGAAUUCUGGUUUUGGUUGCAGAAGAUUCCUCGUAAUUAGCUCAUAAUAGUAUUCUUCAGCAAUUGCAUGAAUCGAGCACUUGUGAUCUUUCCUCACAAAACCUUCAGCAACCCACCAGUAAGCAACAGCAUUACGCUCGAUUGCAAAAUUUGGAGGCAACAAAGCACACUCUUAAGUUGAGGGGUUAAGUUGCUAUAACUCAUAUAUAGGGGGCCUCCUAGUUCUUUGGGAAGUCCGUGGAUAGACCAGUUGCUAUCUCGGAUGCUCUCCCAUUCUGCCCUUGUUCUUUUAGUAGAUAGAACACCCGCAACAACCGCGAUGGCUAGAGGAAGACCAUCACAUUUUCUUACUAUUUGACACCCAACAUCACUAAAUUCAUUUAGUUGCACAUAUAUGGUCGGAAAGACUUCUUCAUUAGAAGUUCCAGGCCAUCAUAAUCAUUCAUUUUGUUUACUUGGUGAGUAUAUGUUGCGUGCAUUCCUGCCAAAACAUCCAGGUUUCUUGUGGUGACAAGGAUAUUUGCAUUCGAGCAUCUCUUGAAAGGCGAUCGGAGAAGAUCAAUCCAGACAUCAGAUUUCCACGCAUCAUCUAAAACAAGAAAUACACUCUUUCCUCUGAUAGUGUCCAUCAGAUGGAAAAGAAGUUCGGUCUUGGUCUCAAGCUGACCACAUGUUGCUCCAGCCAUUCGUAUUGCCUGCCUUGGCAAACCAAUCUCUGUGUAGCUCUGAGAAACGCACAACCAUAUAUGAACUUGGAAUUUCUCCCUUAUCCUCUGCUCAUUAUAUAUCUUCUGAGCUAAUGUUGUCUUACCAAUGCCUCCCAUCCCUUGAAUACCAAAAACAGUUGAUUUGUCUUCAUGAAAAUUACUAAGAAUCAUUUUGACCAUGUCAUCAGUCGCCUGUCUGAUAUCUCUUCCAAAAACCUCUAGUUCAUCUAUGGGUGAUGUCUGACUUCUAUCCACAACAGGUACUUGAUACUGUUGACUACUGGUCCUCUCCAAGCUGAUGAACAUGUUUCUGUUCUUUUGAAUUUCAUCUAGCUUUCUGUUUAUAUCCUUGAUUCUUUUAGCAACCCUGUGAUCAAAUGAAAGUUUCGCGAUAAAGGACAAAAGGGACUGGUUGCAACAUUCCAUUCUAGGUGGCAGCAAUAGCUUCUGUGAGUGAACCAUGAAGUGAUCUAUGACAUCAUCCACAUCAAACAUAACGUCAGUCAUGUUCUUCCACCAUGACUCUGCCCCCCUAUCUUGCUUCAGCAUCCUCACCAACAGCGCCAAAAUGUUCCAGAUUUUUCUUGAGCCUCUUGAUAUCCCUUUUCACACUCAAUGUCAUUGCAACUUCAUCCUGGAUAAUCUGACUAAGCUUUGCCAGGAAUUUUGAAGUGAGAGCAUCCAAAAAUGCACCCAUACUGCUCAAACAGCUAGACCUAUGGAUUGUCACCGGAUCUCACUUGCCCUCAAGCUUCAGAUUGUAUAUGAUAUAUCUCAGUUAACCGCAGCUCAUUCGAGAUUGGAAAGGGUAGGAGAUGUUGAAAUAGAGGGAGUGCAGUUUGAUGGAAUUGGAGAGGCCAAUGCACAAGUGAGCUGUUAUAAGUUCCCAUCACUGUAAAGACCCGACCUAAUCAUAGACACCUAAUGUCUUGGGCAUUCCCAUUUGCUUCCAAUCUUUUCAACACAGGUAAGAACAUAUAUCUCAAAAAACAAAGGACUAUUGUUGCAGACUUGCUGACGGGAGGGAAAGAGUCGCCACCAGAAAAUAUUUGUUUGACGGCAGACAUUCGUGCAUUUCCUCGAACAGUCCAUAUGCGUUCAAUCGUUGGUCUCCAACUCUCCGUAGACUAAGUUUCUUGUUUAUAAAAAAAAAUCGAGAGAGAAGAAUUUGCGAUAGCUGCUCCAUCGUUUUCGCCAAUCUACGUACAGAGAGAGAGCGAUCAAAACAGGCCGUCUACUAACAUCACCAGAAACAAAUCAGCCCGAAACUUCCAUUAGAUUUGUAGGCUUUUUCGCAGAUACACAGAGAGACCUGCAUGAGAAGCGCGCGCUGCGGUUGUCCACUGCAUUGAUUGGUUGGCGACGCCGACUACCGGCCGCGGCGAUAGCCACAGCUCGUCGGCCGGCAGCGCCGCCCACCGCCGGAGAAGAAGCCUGCCAUCCAGGGGCUCCACAUGUUUAUCGGGCCCAGGCGCACAGCCCAGCCCAGCGACACGUUAGUACAACACAGGCCGGGCCCUCUCUCUCUCUCUGUUCGUGUCACGCCGCCCGGACCGCCCCCGGGUCCAGCAAACUAUGAUGAACAGCCCAACCUUGGUGGCCCUCAAAUCAAACCAAAACCAGGAGUCCAGGACCGUACAAACACAUGCUGAUCGAAUAGGCGAUAGGCCGAAGGUCUGCGAUUGAGAUGAUGAAUCGAUUUUUCUUUUUCACCAAUGUGGCAAUUUAUUAACUAUCCGCUUCCUCUCCCUUGCAAGAAGACAUUUUCGCCGUUGCAAGAAAAGCUCCCAGUGAAAGGGGGGCAAAAAAAAAUCAAGUCACACGACAUCGAGAGUACACAAAGAUGGUAGAUGCAUAUAGAUGGAUGGUUACACGAGACACUGAAGACAGUAAGCAGGCAGCACAUACAACACGGAGCAGAGCAUUGCCUGCUUGCUACACACACUGACACUGCUACAGAUGAGCCCCACAAGCGACCUGCCUGCGAGGAAGGACACGGCGACGACGGCGACUCGCAUCUCAGUACCAUUAUUCUUCUCCAUCAGUACGAUUACUAGCAGCAUGCGCAACACUGUUAUUAAGCAUGCCACACACACACUUAGGACACAACACUGCUAUACUAGGGUGUCCUUCCGAUCGCCUCCACCGGCCAGGGGCCGCGCCAUGAGCUCAUCACUUGCCGCAGGUGCAGGGGUUGCAGGUGCAGUUGGGGCCGCACUGGCACCCGCCGUUCUCGGCUCCGGCGGACGCCGCGCCGCCCUCGAACCCGCCGUCGGCGUGCCUGCGCAGAGAAAGCCAAGAUAUGACAGAGUCAGUGGCCUGGCUCAUACAUGCAUACAGAGCAUUUUUGGCAUGUUCGCUACCAGCAGCUACAUACGAGUGCAUGACGUCCCAGACUUCUCAGUUCAGGACAAAUUAAAGUUCUUUUUUUUUUCUUUCUGUUUUUGGGCCAGCAGUUUGUUUGUUUCAUGAUUGCCAAAAACUGCUUUCGUCGUAGCUUACUGCUCCCUGCUCGUUGCUGAUGGCGACUGAAAUUUGUACUACCACUAUGCGGACAAAUACCACAGCUACGCAUGCUAACAGAAGUUGGUACUGCUCCCUACACGAUCGAUCGAUCUACCCCCACAACACAAGGCAAAAGACAGUAAAAAUAGUACAGCUAGUAAUUCUGCACCACAGAAACUGACUGCUAUUAUUAGCAAAGGUGUGGAUGGUGGAUCAUUCAGAUCAACACAACACCGGAAUGAUCUAUGAGCAUGAUGUAGAUCAGUAGAUGGGAAAAGGGAUGGAUGAACAUACCCCUUGUUGGAAGGCGCAACGCCCGUGAUGACGGUCUGGGUGGUGGUGGUGCCCUGCUCAGCCAUGUCCGGGAACAUCUUGCACCUGCAGAUCAUGCAAGCGGCAGAUCAGCAUCAUCAGAAAUUUCCCUUGUUGAAGGAGCACAACUACAGCAUGCACAUCGUUUCAGAGAAACGAAGUUCAUCAGACAGGAAUUCACAUGCGCAGCAACAUGAGAAAACCUCUCUGUUUUUUUUCUAAAAUAAAAAAGGGGAGCUUGAUCUCCCAGCUCUACAUAUCCUAUACUCAAAGAUCCAUCCACAAAGGUCCAGCAAGAACACAAGAACAACCGAAUACAUGCAUUCAUAUGGGUAUUGACACAUGAUAGACACGCAUCAGACUAUCAGAGAUCUGAGGAGCGUGGCGUCGUGGGGCUUACCCUCCGCAGCCGCUGCCGCACUUGCAGCCGGACCCGCACCCGCAGUUGCCUCCGCAGCACGACAUCCUCGCGAGAUCGAUUCAGAGACGAACACAAGCAGAGAGCGGCGUUCUUGGCAAUGAGUCACUGAACAACAACGAGAUGCAGUAUGCCUUCCCCCUG
rnacentral:lncRNA from 1 species